CACCAACUAGUGUGAAAUAUAAAUCUAUCUGUUAAGAGAUACAAAAUGCAGGUCUUAACAUCAAUAUAUAACAUUAGACCUCCCAAAACACUCUAACUCUACUUGAUCAUCCUUCAGACUUCAACCCCUGUAAGGAAAACAAAACUAAAUGGCUGAGCUAAAGCUCAGUGAGGCUUGCCAAGCAAGUUACAUAAAAUAAACACUUAAAUCAGUACAAUUAAGCAAGUAGUACACAUUUCACUGUACAAUCACUUUCAUUAAGUAAUUGAGAAACACUUCGCUAAACAAUCACUUUUAAAAGGAUACGGUGCUCGCAUUAGAGCUACUUCAAUGUCAUUGAGCAUUCAUUUCAGUGUCAAGAGACAUUCAUUUCACUGUCAUUGUACAUUCAUUUCAAUAUCACUGAACAUUCUGCCAAUUCACUUCCUUAUGUCCUCCAAAACAAUAAACAAUUCACUACAUUCAAUAAUCAGUUCAAUAAUCUCCCAACCUCAUGAUAAUACUCGAGUAUAUCGAAACAUUUGCCCAAAGCUGCCGUUCUACCCGACCAAGCCCUUUGCUGGCUCGAAUAGUCCAUUGAAUAGAGGGUUUUCGGGCCCAAUUCAGCCAAUGUGAUAAAAUACACACACGGCUUACAGUCAUGCACACUUACAAUAUCACUUGAUCAAUUAUCAACCUUCAAACUCAACUAAGGCGAGUGCGAUAAAGUACACCCUCGGCUUAGAAGGCAAGGGACAAUUGAGAUACACUUUGCAAUGAAUCACUUAGCAAUAUUUCAUAAUAAGCACAUUUAUCACAUAAUUUCACUUAAGUAACAUAAACAGUUAAACAUAUAAAUUCGGAAACACUCACCGUAAUCAAAAAUUACACUUCGAUCUCGGAAUUGCUUUCUUGCACACCUCUAUCUCCUAAGACAAGUUAUAAUAGCCAUAAUCAUUUAACUACUCAUUUGGUGAGGUUCUAAAGUAUAAUCAACAUACGUGUUGUAUUCUAGCCUUAAGUCACCAUUCCAGCUGAAUUCUCAGCUAUUGCUUUGUUUAAAUGAGGCGACUAGUGCAUUUCUUACAUUCACUCGUCACUUCGACUUUUAGUUUUCAAAAGAGAGGAAGUUUAAGUGGCAAUUCCAGUAUUGUGACUUCAGUACUUUUAUACUGCUAGAUUUAUCGUACUAAAACUCAACAUUAACCUUUAAUAAGGUAAAUUUUAGAAAUAACUACCUUUAAGGUACUUUAUUGUCCUAUAAAUCUCUUUUACUUACUUAUGAUCAUGAGUAAAACUAGUUUAUUACCUUGACAGUGAACAUACAAUGCUUAUAAAGCCGUUUGAAUCAUGUUUUAUUUGUAUAUCUUUUCAUAUAAGUUUUAUAGCCUUUUAGAUCCCUAUAGUUGAUAUAACAACUGUUCUCAUCCAUUUAUCCAUUUAUCUUUAUGUCCGACUGCUAAUUACUCACCAAUUUAAGGUUUAAAUUACUAGAACUCAAGUCCCUUAGCUUGUCACACAAGAUGCAACAAUUCCAGCAACCUUCCUCACAUUUCUCUUCAAGAUUCAUCAAAUUUAUCAACUCAAACAAGGGAAAUAUUCAUGUAUACCAAAUUUAAGGUCUUGUAAGGUGUUUAAACUAAGGUUAAACUAUUUUCAUGCCAAAUUUAAAGAUUAAGGUUAGUGAACUUUUCAUUUCUUUCCUUUUAAGCUAAACCAGAUUCUAGUUUGCUUGUUGUUUAAAUUUGCUCCAAUUCACCAGCUUUUCAAGUGUUAAAAUCAAUAAGAUGUACAUGAAAACUAGGACAAGAUGUUAUAAGAUGUUUUACUUAAGAUUACAGCCAAUUAUCAUGGAAUUUUCGAAAUUAACAUGAGAGUUUCAGCCUUCACCCUCUCUCGGCCAGCAAAACAGAUUUUCCAGCAACAUUACUCCAAAAUUUUCAACAAGGUUUCCAUCCUUUGCUUGCUUUAAACACUAAACACUUAACAUACAUUCUGUCCAAUAUGAAAUGAAUCAUAUAACAGGUAAUUGCAGCAAAUUAUUCCACCAAGAAGUCCCCAUAAAUCUGUCAUCAGCUAACAUAUAAUCUUCCAGCAAUUUGACAGUUUAAAUGUGAAACUUUCUCCACAAAUUCUUCAUUUUUCCACUCCAGCUCAACAUGCAGAGUGUAGUUAUCAUGCUACGGUGUAUCUUGUGCAACAAUAUGAAAUUUACAGCCAAAGAUUCAAAGGGAAAGCUGGAUAAAAUUUUGUUUCCUUCUCUCGGCCAUGCUGAAAAAUUUCAGCAGCUUUCUUUCAACAUUUCAAGCCAAAUCUAUCAACAUUUUUACUAGUUCCACAAAUAGAUAUCCUAUAAGAUCAGAGAUGAACCUAUUUCAUGCACUCCUAGCAUAAUUCUCCAAAGGAAAUUCUGGUAACAAGCUGCAAUUCCAGGUUCACUCUCUCGGCCAUCACAGAGUUUUCUUGUAGCUCUUAAUCAGUCAUUAAACAGAAUUUUUCCUCAGCCAAAACUCAUUUUUCCUAGCUAAAACUUAACAUGCAGCUUAAGUAUUCAGUUAUACUAGAUAAUUAAAAGAUUGUUGCAGCAUUUUACCUGCCUUUUUCUAACAAUCGAAGCUUGAAAAGAAGAAACCCGCAGGCAGACUCCUUCCUCCUUCGUUUCCUCAUGAUGAAAGCCCCAAGUUCCCCUUUUUUCUACCUUACUCUCUUACUCAUUCGGUUGACUGGAAGGAAAGAAUGGAAUCAGAGAGCUCCCUCACUCUCACUCUUUCUCUCGGUUUUGGGUAUGGAAAAGGAAGAAAGCUUAGUACACUGUUAUCUCUAUUUGUUUGCUCUCGGUUGAAGUCCAAAAUGGCAGAGCACUUCCUUUCUCUCGGUCAUUACUUAACUCAGCAAAUGUUCCACCGCCCAACUGUCAGACAAUUUCUACUCCUUUUCCUUUCCACCACUUGAUCUAUUAGAGGCUUGCAUUCGGUUCCUAUCACAGCAAAUCUUACUUUCUCUAGGUUUUAUUUCUGAAUUAUGAUAGUUCGUGUGAUGGCUGCAUGGUAUUUAGUCUUGAAGUUUGAGGUCGGUUUGGUCUUUUUGUUGUAGUUUAUUUGCUCACUAAGGUCUAAAAUUUUGUGAUUUCAUGCAUGGACUCCUAACUUCGUUUGUAUUUUAGUGAAUAAUUUUCUUACAUUGAUUUUGACACAUUUAACUUUAAGAAAAACUUAUUGGACAUGUACUUCUUAAACUUCUAGUGUAUGUUACGUGUCUAGUAAUAUUUGCAAAUAAUAUAAUUUACAAUAUGCGCGUCAUCUAUUUAUUUAAUUCGUAAAAUUUUUCUAUACCAUUUUAGGAUAUUUCCUAAAUUCUCAAUUUUAUAAUAAUUCAAUUAGGCAUUUAAUUUAACCACUUAUUCGUUAUAUGUUAUAUUUUCAAUAUCAAGGUAAAUAAAAUAAAAUAAAUGCAAAGCACACACGUAAUUAUUCAAGUUCUCACAUUACCUGUGACGGCCCGGUCUCCUCCUAGGGCAUACCCUAGAAGUUAGUGGAUCGCUCGCCUGACUCUCGCCAAGACUCAUUCACUAACAUUAACUUCAAAGAUAACAAUUCUCAUUAAUCAUCCAAACAUCCAUUCUUAAUACUUCUUAAUAAGACAAAAGCUUUAUCCACUACAAAUUACAAAAGUGAAUCAUCCAAACAUUCAUUAUUAAGUACAUCACCAACUAGUGUGAAAUAUAAAUCUAUCCGUUAAGAGAUACAAAAUGCAGGUCUUAACAUCAAUAUAUAACAUUAGACCUCCCAAAACACUCUAACUUUACUUGAUCAUCCUUCAGACUUCAACCUCUGUAAGGAAAACAAAACUAAAGGGUUGAACUAAAGCUCAGUGAGGUUUGCCGAGCAAAUUACAUUUUAUAAAUACUUAAAUCAGUACAAUUAAGCAAGUAGUGCACAUUUCACUAUACAAUCACUUUCAUUAAGUAAUUGAAGAAACACUUCACUAAACAAUCACUUUUAUAAAGAUACGGUGCUCGCAUUAGAGCCACUUCAAUGUCAUUGAGCAUUCAUUUCUGUGUCAAGAGACACUCAUUUCACUGUCAUUGCACAUUCAUUUCAAUAUCACUGCAUAUUCCGCCAAUUCACCUCCUUAUGUCCUCCAAAACAAUAAAAAAUCCACUACAUUCAAUAAUCUGUUCAAUAAUCUCCCAACCUCAUGGUAAUACUCAAGUAUAUCGAAACAUUUGCCCAAAGCUACUGUCUUACCCGACCAAGCCCUUUGCUGGCUCGAAUAGUCCGUUGAACAGAGGGUUUUGGGGCCCAGUUUAGCCGAUGCGGUGAGGCACACAUACGGCUUACAUUCAUGCACACUUACAGUAACAUUCAGUCAAUUAUCGACCUUUAAGCUCAACUAAAUCGAAUGUGAUAAAGUACACCCUCGACUUAAAAGGCAAGGGACAAUUGAGAUACACUUCACAAGGAAUCAUUUAAUAAUAAUUCAUAAUAAGCGCAUUUGUCACAUAAUUUCACUUAGAUACACAUAAACAGUUUAACAUAAAUUCGAAAAACACUCACAAAUUAUCCAAAUAAUUUACUCUUGAGUCUCGAGUUUGUUUCCUGACUCGCAGCUACUUCCUGAGAUAAAUAUAUAAUUCCAUGGUAAAUUUAUAAUUUGUAGAUGUUCACCUAUUUUUUAAAUCAUUCGAAUUAGGUUUGACUUUAAAAUAUAAUAUAUAACAAAUUCAAUAUUUAUUCUACCUUAUUGUUUAAACUAUUAAAAUCAAGUCUGACCUUAAAAUACAAAAUAUACGCAAUAUUUAUUCCCCAAUUUAUUUUGAGACUUAUUGACUUUAUUAUCUUAAAUCAACAAAUACACAUACUUUCCAAAUUAAUAAUUUAUAAAAUGUUUACAUUAGAAUUAAAUCAUUUUCUACUCAAGAUUCUAAGUUUAAAACUUAGGAAUAUUCCAUUGGUUCCCUUUUUAAAUUAGUUAAACUCUAAGUUGUUUGUAAACUAAAUUUUAUUCCACUACACUCGUUCCUCAAAUUUAUAGUUUUUAACAUAUGUGUAAAGACAAUAUUAAGUGAUUAGAAGCCAAUUUAGGUAUAUAACUAUCAUGAGUUUUCUUCUCAUUUGCUUUAAUUUAACUCUACUCGUGGAACUAGAUAUAGUUGUUAAAUCUCAGAGCAACCUUAGCUAUCAUUUAUGAAAGCUUACAGGGUUGGAAAUUAGAUGAAAUGCUGUUCAAAAAUAGGUUUCCUCACGGCCAGCAUCAAGUAGAAUGCAUUCAGAAAAACAAGAGAGAGGCAACGAGAAAGGCAGCUUUGCCAAUCUCUGGUGUUUUGAUCGUAACUGGAGCUACACUUAUGGGAUUGAGGCGAAUUUUAUACCAUCAACAUUUCUUAUGAAGACAUCGACACUCAGUUCUCACAUUUUCAGGGUAAAAAAUGGCCGGACAAAAGCACAUUCUACUUCACUCCCACGGCCAACCAACCUGCACUCAUUUCAACUUUAGUAUUUAGUUGAGUUUCUACUGGUUCCAAUCUUCCUUGUUGAGGUUUAAGGUCCGUAUGACAUGUUACAUUUACUACACAGGUUUAGAAGUUAAAGUUUAUAGAGGAUCUGUGACAGCCCAACCUUCCCCUAAGGCAUACCAAAGAAGUUAGCGGACUGCCUGCCCAACUCUCGCCAGGAUAACUAAGACGGUUAUACACAACUCAAAACGUGCCGGAAUACAGUAGCGCGCGUAAACAAAGCAAAAAUCAUGAAACAGAAAAAGAAAAUCGAAACUGAAACUGAAUAGCGCCUGCCACGUCACCAUCCGACCGGGACCCAAUCGAAUACAAGUGACUUCAUAUAAUCCUUGAAAUGGACAUAUAUAAACCAAACAUAACACAUGAACAUGAGUACACGCUUUUAUCGACCACAUUCGUAUUUUUACAAAUCAAAAGGGAACAUUUGAAUCCAAGUACAAUUAGGGUUUCCAACCAUUGAGGAGCUAUACAAAAUAUCUAAACUAGCUCAACUCAUGCUUCAAAAUCACAGUUCCAAAAGUGGUUCCCUGUAAGGAAAACAAAGAUAACGGAACGGGGUGAGUUAGAAGCUCAAUGAGGUACCAAAAGCAUAACAGUGGAAAUCAUGAGAAAAAACUUUUAGGGCAUACAUACACAUCAAAUAAGAGAAAAAAACGAACACCACUGAUAGGGUGCAAUUUAUUCAUUUAUUUUAUUAUUAAUUCCUCCUAUUACCUGACUUGAUGUGGAUUUAUUUGCUGGAUUCUACUCACUUUUAGUAUUUGACGUUUAUUUCAGGGAGUAGAAUAUAAAUAUGAUAACAGGUGCCAAAUUGGGAAAAAAAAGAAUUCAGAUGAGAAAGCUUGUCCCAGGGGCACUUUUGGAAGAGAAGAUGUCAUGCCCAUUUUGGUAAUUUUCGCAAGGAAAUGACGGACGGAGGGCUUCGCUUCCUGUGGAGGUCCCGCCGCAAUUAAAAGAGGGAAAGGCAGCAACCCUGUGGGAGCUAGCUUGUUCUUGAUUCUCCGUCUGGAGCUUAGCAGCAAUUUUUGACUUUUCCCUUGUAAUUCACUUUUUGGCUUGAGAAGCCUACGGAUGUUAGGAAGAAAAGGCAUUUGUUAGCCUCGGGCUUUGACUUUUCCUUUUCCUCUCUUUUGAAUCCUGCGCAUGGCAGGAGCAUUGGAGAAUUGUUUCUUUUGACUUUUUUCUUUAGCUUGAGACGAAGUGAAAACCACGAACUUUCGUAGCUUUUCUAUUCAUUCGAUAUAUUGAGACGAAUUGGAUUUUGCCAAAUUUCAACGGACAUGGCCGCUGGUUUCUCUGCAAUUUUGUGUGGGUUUAGUUCAUCAAUUAUGAACUAAUUUUUCCACUCUAGUCAAAGAGCAAUGGAUGCUUUGGGUCACCUAAAAUUGUGAGAUCAUUCUAAUUUAAUCUUUUCCUUUUAUUUAUCGGUAUUCGCAUAUUCCUUGAUUGCUAAGCUUAUGGUUAUUUAAUUAAUUGGUUGUCUUGGAUCCGGAUAAUUAAUUGAUUGGGUAAUCUAUUGUCAAUUGGGGUAUUAAAUUCGUAAUUGUUUAAUUGCCUCAAAAUAGUGACAGCUGGCAUGAUUAGAUUUGUGUCAGGGGAUUACGUGGGCUAAUCUAAAAUAACCCUGGUAGUGCGUUAUUUGGUUAGAAUAGGGCUCCUCUAAUACGUAAGGCAAUUGGGAAAUUAAAUCUUACGGGCGUACCUAGGAUUAUUUCUCAGUUAGAGCAGUGAUUAACGGGCGUACCUUGAUCACCGACACAGUAAGGAGGAGUUGGCUGCCAUCGCUUGUUUGGUAGUUAUAACCUAUUUAUUGGUAAAUAAGUGGGAUUGGCUUUGCAUCAAUGAUCAAUUAGGCGAACCAUUGCUGAAGUUACUUCUUGGCUAGAUCUUUAGUUAAUAUUUUCUUGAUUGUAGUGGAUUGCCAUUUGACUUUUAAUUGCCUACUUUAUUUUAUUUUUGAUUGUUUCCUCGUUUUAAUUAAUUUAGGCCUUUAAUUAUUGUUAUCCUGAGUUCAGAAAAUUGUGGUUUAAUUUCUAGUUAGUUGUUUAUUUUUACUUUCCCAUUUGAAUUUAUUUAAUUAUCGUCGUUCCUACAAAAUCACCCCCUGUGUCACUUUGGAUUUCUUAAGAAACGAAUAUACCCAAUCUCUGUGGAUACGACCCUACUUACCCUGUCUACAAAUUCAUAAUCACUUGUGAAAAGGAAUAACCAUUCCAUUCGGGUAUAUCGGAUCAAGCAAAUUUUUCGGGAACAGGGUGAAUCAAGUAACCCAUUGCACACCUAGAGUCCCUGCUCCAGUACUUGGAAUUGGAUUUUGGUCAUUUUAACUGGCAAUUAGGUUUAAUUUUAUUAUUGCACAGGCUGACGACCUGUCAAUUUUUGACGCCGCUGCCGGGGACUGGCGUUAUUAUUUGUUUCUUUUUAAAUUCAAUUUUUGUCUUAAUUUUCUGGUUUUCUUCUAGUGUAUGCCUCGAUCUUCUCGCACAGGUGAUUUGGUUUUUGACCCUGAGGUAGAGAAGACCGCGCGUAGAACGAGAAAGGAAACCAGACAGCUCAGAGAAGAGCACUCUAGUGCUACAUCUCAAAGACCCGAGUCAGAAGUUGAACCAACAGAUUCGUUUGGUAACACUUCGAGUGACUCUGACCAGGAGGAGUUCACCAUGGCUAAUGCACAAACAUUAAGGGAGUUGGCUGCUCCUGAUUUAACUCAGCAGCCUUUGUGCAUUACUUUCCCCGCUUUAAAUGACAACAUUCCAUUUGAACUAAAAUCUGGUCUGAUUCAGCUUUUACCCUCUUUUCAUGGUUUACCAGGUGAAGAGCCGUAUAAGCAUCUGCAGGAGUUUGAUGUCGUGUACAAUAGUAUGAAACCCCCAGAAAUCACAGAAGAGCAGAUAAAAAUGAGGGCAUUCCCCUUCUCCUUGAAAGAUUCUGCGAAGGACUGGCCGUACUACCUGUCACCAGGUAGCAUCACCACGUGGGGCCAAUUGAAGAAAAAAUUUCUGGAUAAAUAUUUUCCUGCGUCCAGGGCUGCAAGUCUAAGGAAGGAAAUUUGUGGGAUCAAGCAGCAUCCAGGGGAGUCACUUUACGAGUAUUGGGAACGGUAUAAGAACUUGUUGCGCAGGUGCCCCCAACACCAAAUAAGUGAGCAGUUGAUCAUACAAUAUUUUUAUGAGGGGCUCAUUUUUAGAGACAGGAGCAUCAUUGAUGCUGCAAGUGGAGGGGCACUGGUGAACAAAACCCCUCAGGAAGCACGGGAGCUAAUAGAGGGGAUGACAGAGAAUUCACAGCAAUUCAGUACAAGAGAGGAUGUCCCAAUACGUAGGGUGAAUGAGGUAGAGACACCCUCUAUACAGCAGCAGCUAAAUGAGUUAACUGCGUUUGUUAGGCAACAGGCUGUGAGAAAUGCAUCACAAGCCAGGGUAUGCGGGAUUUGCACUGGUAUAGGCCACUCUGCAGACAUGUGCCCAAUGAUUCAGGAAGAAACUGCAGAACAGGUGAAUAUGGCUGACCACGAGCCCGCGCCAAGGAAGCAGUACGACCCUUACUCAAACACCUACAACCCCGGGUGGAGAGAUCAUCCCAACCUCAAUUAUCGAGGGAAUAGGCAAUCCAACUUCACGCCGAACAGGCAGUCUAACUUUGUGCCGAAUAAGCCACCAGGGUACCAGCAGCAAUACCAACCCCGACCACCUCCGCCACCUCAAUCUGGUUCAUCUACGGAGGAGAUGCUGAAACAAAUGAUGACAACCAUGGCGCAAAAUCAGCAAAGGACGGAGGCAGCUAUUAUGCAAAAUCAGCAAAAGACGGACUCCGAAAUGCAGGACAUAAGGAAUCAGAUAGGUCAAAUGGCCACCAGAAUUAAUAGUUUGGAGUCCCAGAACCAAGGGAAGCUGCCAUCUCAACCGGAGUUGAAUCCGAAGAACGUGAGCGCAAUGACCCUAAGGAGUGGGAAAGAAAUUCAGGGGCCUGAACCUGUGAUUUCCAAGGACAAGGAUGAAGAGAAGAUCGAAAAUGAUCUUGAAAGGGAGGACAGCAAUGGUGCAGAUCCAAAGGUACUUCAUGACCCAAUAAUUACAGUUAAAACUAACCCACCUCCUUUUCCUAGCAGGUUGGAAAAAUCGAAGAAACAGGAUAAGGAAAAGGAGAUCUUGGAGGUUUUUCGCAAGGUUGAGAUAAAUAUCCCCCUCUUGGACGCCAUCAAACAAGUACCAAAAUAUGCCAAGUUCCUAAGGGACUUGUGUGUAAACCGAAGGCGAUUGAGGGGAGAUGAACGGGUCAUAGUUGGGAAAAAUGUGUCUGCGGUCCUGCAGAGAAAGCUCCCACCAAAGUGCGGGGACCCAGAUAUGUUUACUAUUCCCUGUAAGAUAGGUAAUACUGUGAUCAGAAGGGCCAUGUUGGAUUUGGGAGCAUCAAUAAAUGUCAUGCUUAAGUCUAUCUAUGCUUCUCUAAAAUUAGGUCCAUUAAAAGAAACUGGAAUAAUCAUUCAAUUAGCUGACCGAACUAAUGCAUAUCCUGAUAGGUUGGUUGAAGAUGUGUUGGUAAAAGUUAAUGAUUUGGUGUUUCCAGCUGAUUUUUAUGUACUUGAUAUGGAUGAUGAUCACUCCCCUGAUUCCUCACCUCUGUUAUUGGGUAGACCUUUUAUGAGCACAGCACAGACGAAAAUUGAUGUUAAUAAGGGUAUUCUGUCCAUGGAGUUUGAUGGGAAAAUUGUGCAUUUUAAUAUUUUUGAUACUAUGAAGUACCCCUCGAACUCCAACUUUAGCUCAGUUUUUUCUGUGAGUGCUAUUGACCCUGUAGUACAGGAAGUGUUUGAAACUGAUGGCAGGGAUGAGAUGGAGGUGGCUUUAACCAAGCACCUCGAGUUGGAGACAACUCCUCAGGUGGAGUGGAGUGAGGAUUUAGAAUGCACAAUAGGUGCAUUACACUCGUUGCAGACCACCACGAAAAGGUAUGAAGUCUUACCUAUUUUUACUCCCGAGCCUCACCAGAGGGUAUUGCCAUCUGUGGUGCAGGCACCUGUACUGGAGUUGAAACCUCUACCAGAGCACCUGAAAUAUGCAUAUCUAGGUGAUAAUGAGACACUCCCGGUGAUUAUCUCAUCGGCACUGUCAAAAAUCCAAGAAGAGAAAUUGAUCCGGGUCCUUAGAGAGCAUAAAGAGGCGAUAGGUUGGACAAUUGCAGACAUUAAGGGAAUCAGCUCGGCCGUCUGUAUGCAUCGGAUUAGACUAGAAGAGGAUGCCAAACCUGUUAGGCAGGCUCAAAGAAGGCUCAACCCCCUCAUGAUGGAAGUUGUAAAGAAAGAGAUUCUAAAAUUGCUAGAUGUGGGGAUCAUCUUUGCAAUAUCUGAUAGCUCUUGGGUGAGUCCGGUCCAGGUAGUUCCAAAGAAGGCAGGAGUAACGGUAGAAGCCAACCAAACGGGUGAGCUCGUGCCAGUGCGCAAACCCACUAGAUGGAGGCAAUGUAUAGACUACCGUAGGCUAAACGCCGUCACCAAAAAGGACCAUUUUCCUCUCCCUUUCAUUGAUCAGAUAGUUGAACGUUUAGCUGGUAGAGCUUAUUAUUGCUUUUUGGAUGGAUUUUCAGGAUACUUUUAGAUAGCAAUUGCCCCAGAGGAUCAAGAGAAGACAACCUUCACGUGCCCGUUCGGGACCUUUGCUUAUAGACGAAUGCCAUUUGGGUUAUGCAAUGCACCUGCAACAUUCCAGAGGUGUAUGGUAAGUAUUUUUUCUGAAUAUGUGGAGAAAAUUAUUGAAGUUUUCAUGGACGAUUUCAGUGUGUAUGGUGAUAGUUUUGACACUUGUUUAGAUAACCUGAAAUUGAUCCUGAUAAGGUGUAUAGAGACUAAUCUUGUGCUUAAUUGGGAAAAAUGUCAUUUUAUGGUUGAGCAUGGGAUAGUCCUGGGUCAUAUUGUAUCGUCUAAGGGCAUAGAAGUUGACAGGGCUAAAAUAUACAUUAUCUCUGCAUUACCUUACCCCGCGAGUGUGCGGGAGGUGCGUUCUUUUCUUGGACAUGCAGGUUUUUAUCGAAGGUUCAUCAAGGAUUUUUCAAAAAUUGGAGCCCCGUUGUUCCAACUUCUACAAAAGGAUGUGACCUUCGAAUUCGAUGAUAAGUGUGAGGAAGCUUUCAACAAGUUAAAAGAAUUGUUGACUUCACCCCCAGUUAUCCAGCCCCCUGACUGGAGUCUACCAUUUGAGAUCAUGUGCGAUGCCAGUGAUCAGGCCGUAGGGGCUGUAUUGGGGCAAAGAGUAGGGAAGGCAGCUCACGUCAUCUAUUAUGCAUCCUGGGCAUUGAAUGGAGCCUAGUUGAAUUACUCCACCACUGAGAAGGAACUUCUUGCAGUUAUUUUUGCUUUAGAAAAAUUCAGGUCAUAUUUGCUAGGUGCUAAAGUAAUUGUAUUUUCUGACCAUGCAGCAUUAAGGUACCUAAUGACCAAGAAAGAUGCAAAGCCGAGGCUCAUCAGGUGGAUAUUGCUACUACAGGAAUUUGACCUGGAGAUAAGAGACAAAAAAGGCUCAGAAAAUCUAGUAGCAGACCAUUUAAGUCGCAUACCAAUUGGGGAGGAUAAUGAGCCGUUGAGGGAUGCAUUCCCUGAAGAGCAUUUAUUUUCCUUAAAUUCUCAAUUGCCUUGGUAUGCUGAUUUGGUAAAUUAUCUAGUAACGGGUGAUUUUCCUGCAGGUUGGCCAAAAUCGAAGAAAGAUAAAUUGAAGAGUGACGCCAAGUAUUUCAUCUGAGACGACCCAUACCUAUGGAAAAGAUGUGGCGACCAAAUAAUGAGGAGAUGUGUAAGUGAAGUGGAGUUUCAAUCAAUUUUAGCUUUUUGUCAUACUUUUGCCUGUGGAGGUCAUUUUGGACCUAAGAGAACUGCUCAUAAGAUUUUAGAAAGUGGAUUUUAUUGGCUUUCAUUGUUUAAAGAUGCCUAUGUGUUUUGUAAGUCCUGUGAUCGCUGUCAAAGAGUAGGUAAUAUAUCCCGCAGGGAUCAAAUGCCCCAGGUCCCGUUGAUUUUUGUUGAAAUUUUUUAUGUCUGGGGUAUAGAUUUCAUGGGACCUUUUCCUACUUCAUUUGGUUAUUUAUAUAUUUUGUUGGCAGUUGAUUAUGUGUCUAAAUGGGUGGAGGCUAAGGCCACUCGGACUAAUGAUUCGAGAAUAGUUACAGAUUUUAUCAGGUCUAAUAUUUUUGUACGAUUUGGAAUGCCUAGAACUAUUGUCAGUGAUAGGGGAACGCACUUUUGCAACAAAACCAUAGCUGCGUUGUUUCGCAAGUAUGGUGUACUCCACCGGGUCUCAACGUCAUACCACCCUCAGACCAACGGUCAAGCGGAGGUGUCAAAUCGGGAGAUUAAGUCCAUUUUAGAGAAAAUGGUGCGCCCUGAUAGGAAAGAUUGGAGCCAAAGGUUGGAGGACGCACUCUGGGCCUAUCGGACGGCGUACAAGACUCCUAUAGGGAUGUCACCAUACAGGUUGGUAUUUGGGAAGCCGUGUCACCUUCCAGUGGAGUUCGAGCACAAGGCUUUUUGGGCGAUAAAGCAAUGUAAUAUGAAUCUAGAAGAGGCCGGUGUUCAACGGAAGCUGGAUUUGCAAGAAUUGGAGGAGAUCAGGAACGAAGCAUACGAAAACGCCUUGAUUUAUAAGGAGAAAAGCCGGGCAUUUCAUGACCAACAAAUUUCACGAAGAACAUUUGAAGUUGGUCAGAAGGUCCUCCUAUACCAAUCAAGGCUCAAGCUAUUCCCAGGUAAGCUACGUUCCCGUUGGAUUGGACCUUUUAUUGUAACUCAUGUUUUUCCCUAUGGUGCAGUUGAAAUCCAGAGUGCUAAGACAGACAACAAAUUUGUGGUGAAUGGACACCGUCUCAAGUAUUAUUACGAAGGAUUUUCAGGUGGAGAGGUGGAGACAAUAAGGCUAGACGCACCACCGUGUCCUAAUCAAUGACACUUUACCAUGUCUAGCCAAAGACAUUAAAGAAAGGCGCUAAUUGGGAGGCAACCCAAUUGUUUCUGUCAAUUACUUGUUGGUUUCGGGUCAUAGUUUAAAUCUAUUUUCCCUUUAAUUUGACUGAUUUUGAGUUUCAGUUUUCGUUUUUGCUGAUUUUUAGGUGUCCUUCAGUCUUGACGCGCCCGCGUGGUGAUGUGCAGGACGCUCACGAUCAGGAAAUUCUGAACUUCUGGGAGCUCUCCUGCCCUCAUGACGUGCCCGCGUGGUGAUGUGCAGGACGCUCACGAUCAGGAAAUUCUGAACUUCUGGGAGCUCUCCUGCCCUCAUGACGUGCCCGCGUGGUGAUGUGCAGGACGCUCACGAUCAGAAAAUUCUGAAACUUCUGGGAGCUCUUUUGGCCUCAUGACGUGCCCGCGUCACGUUCGCGGGAAAGGUAAGGAUUCAAAUAAAUAAAAAAAAAUGAAAAAAAAAUUGAAAAAAAAUAUAGAAAAACUAUUAUUAUUAUUUCAGUUAUUCAAAUAAUAAUAAAAAAAAAUUUCCUCUUAACCGUAGCAAUUUCUUUUAUAUAAAAAAAAAAAUUUCCUCUUAACCGUAGCAAUUUCUUUUAUUUAAAAAAAAAAAAAUUUCCUUCUUUUCUUUUCUUUCUUUCUUCUUUCUCUCUUCUUUCUUUCUUUGUUCUCCGCUGCUGUUUCCUCCUGUCGACUUGAUCCAGUCGUCGACCCAUCAACCGCCGCUUCCUCCACCUAGCCACGCCAAGCAGCCGCACGCCGCCGCUGCUGUAGCGCGCAGCCCAGAAGCAGCUCGCGCGCAAACCAGACCCUCCGCCCGCGCGCCUCUGCUGCUCACGCCACCGCCGCCCACUGACGAAUCUUCUCCGCCACCAGAUCUGCGCGGCGGCCGAAGUUUCUCCCACCAUCGCGCGCCCCAAAUCGCGCGCUCCGCCGCUCUUCGACCGCGCACGCGCCACGCCUUCCCCGCGCUGCUGCUCCUGCCGCAGCUCUUCCCUCACGCAACCACAGCCGUACCAGCCACAGCAGACCGCAGCCCCCUCUCACUCCAGCUUCACGACACAGCUAGCUGCUCUAUCUGCAGACUGGCGGGGUACUAGUGGAGGUAUUUGGACUUUAUUCCCCAAUUUUUGAUAUCUAAUUGGUACUGCCUGGGUUGAUAACUAGUUGCUAUUGUCAACGGUUGGAGGUUAUUUCUCGAUUGUGUGAUUUCCUCCAGUAGUACUGGUUGGUCUAUUCUUGCUUGGAACUGCUAUUUCUCUUGGGGUGUGUUAAAUUGUGCAAUUAAUUGGCCAACUGGAGCCAUUUGUUGGGACUUUGGGUGAGCUAAAUUGCUGUGAUUGGUUGUUGACUUUGGGCGACACUUUUUGGGUUUUUAGUUGGGUUAUUUCUGAAAUUUCUUGUUGCUUUGGAGAGACUGGCCGCAUGCUCUACUUGUUGAGAUUGGUAAUAUUCAGUUUAAUUACUUGUUGAAUUGCUGAUUUUGAGGGGUCUUCCUGUAUCGGGCAUUGGGCAUUGCUACUUGCUCAAACUCCUCUUUUUGUUAUUGGUUGGGUCCUUCCUGGGGAAUUAUUGUUGUGAUCUGCUGAGUUUCCUUUGCUAGUUACAUUUGCUGGUUUCUAUACCUGUUGAAGCUUCUUGUUGGUUUGAGUUCACUGUGGGAGGACAUGGUGCGACCGAAGUCAUCCUCUAGGUCUAGGGCCUCUCAGUCUCAACCCCCUCCACAGGCAUCUAUUCCGGUGAAUACACCUACCAACCUACCGUAUUCUUCUAAUGUCCGAACCCGCUUGGGUAGGGGUAGGGUGCUCAGGUAGAUACCCCAGCUCACUUUGGAGGGCACUUGACCUUAACCAGACCUGCGGAUCAGCAGAGGUAUGCCAAAGUCUGUGAGCGGCGUAUCAUACCUUGUAAGACUAGUGACAAAUUAAGCAUGAUGGGCCUAGGCAUACGAGAGGAGGUCGAGCAGAUGUUUACAGCCAUCGGGUGGCGCCCAUAUCUCUAUAUCUUCUGUCCCGCAUUUGUCGAGCUGACUCGGGAGUUUUAUGCUACCUUUGAGUUUGAGUUGCCCUCGAGGUUCACCGUUGCGACACCUAAUGUCAUUCGCUUCCGUCUGAUGGGUCGGGAAUUUAAUUUUUCGAUUACCGAAUUUAAUUUGGCAUUCGGAUUCAUUACUCGAGAGUAUGCGGAGACGAGGGAGUAUAGUGAGAGUGCCUGUAACUAUGUAGAGCCAUUCCUCUCCCGCUACCAUGAUGUAUGGGAGGAAAUAUCCGUCGAUGGGGAGCGCUACGAUCCUUCUCGAUCUAGGAGUUCCUUUCUUAAGGACCCUAGUGCCCGCUAUGUUCAGCGAUUUUUAGCCUGCAGCUACUCAGGGCGCAAGGACAGCUCCGGUAUACUCUCUCGCCCCGAGUUUUUCUUCCUCUGGAGCAUGAAGAACAACAUCAAGGUCAAUUUGGGGUGUUGGUUGGCGGCGCAGUUCAAGACGGUUCUGACCAAGAAGAACAAACCUCUGAUCCUUGGGUCCUUUAUCACUCACUUGGCGACCGAGCUAGGGGUUCUUGACUUGGAGGACCAUGACCUACAUUUGGCAUUCGAGAUAGAGCUCUUGGAUGUGGAUUGCUUAGAGAGGAUGGGAAUCGUCGAGCGCUUGCCCGAUGGUUCCUACCAGUUUACCCCUCCGGGACCACCUCGAGCUCCGGGUGCACGCCCUACGCCCCGACCAGGACCCUCUUCCUUUCAUGAGUCGGCCGAGGACACGGCUGGGCCGUCAUCUUCUGCACCACCUCCACGCCGUGGGACUUCUGAAUGGCAGCAACUCCAGGAGCAGGUUCAGGAUUUGCAGGCCCGAAUGAACAACGUCGACGCCAAUGUCGCAGGCAUAGCACAGAAUUUGGCGCAGUUUCUGAUGCAUACAGGCUUUGCACCUCCAUUCCCACCUCGCCCUCCGCUAUGACCCAAUUUCAGGGAAGUUUGGCUAAUUCCCUCUCACUUUUGCUUCACUUUUGGCUUUUAUUUGUCACAUUGAGGACAAUGUGUCCUAUAGGUGUGGGGGGGGAUCUAAAGUUAUGCAAGUGUGCUCCGUUUUUAGUAGUUUUCAGUUUUCAGCUUUUCAUUUUAGUAGUUUUUAGUGUUUUUAGUUUUAGUAAUUUUAGUUUGUAGUUUUUAGUUUUUUUAAGUUUUUAGCUUUGGGUUUUAGUUUUUAGCCGUUUUUCGUUUUAUUUUCUUUUUGUUCAUUCUCUUUCAAUCUUGAUCUUGUUGGUUAAUGUGAAAAAAAAAGAAAAAAAAAAGAAAAAGAAAAAGAAAAGUGAGUUUUUAGUUUUAGUAGUUUUUCGUAGUUUCAUUUCUAGUUGCUCGUUUUCGUUCUUUCUUCUUGGUGCUUACCCUUCAUGUGAAUGCUAAAAGUUGAGAUGUGGACUUAUUGACUCCAAGUCUACUUUUGCCAAGUUUUUAAAAUACAAAAUGUAUCGGGUUAAUGUGGUUGGAUCCAGAAUAUCUUCCUGGUGAAUAUCGAAUUGCUCGGCUCCUUUGAUUUCUGUGAUUAAUUUCUCUAGGCAUGGGGAAUGACUGUUGGCAUUUUAAUGUGAACUGGUCCAAUAUUGACUCCAGUUCUCUAUGUUUGACAAUAAUGAGGCGAGCUGUUCCUAUUUUUGGUUCUUAGUGUUGUUAGUAUGUGUUUUUGGCUUUGCUUGGCUGUGAAUAAGCUUGACUGUACUCCGCUAUUAAGUUACUACUGAGUAACCGGGGAUCGGCACCUAAAAGUGUCGAUUCUCGCGACAAAAGGUGGUACUUUAUAUGAGUACGUGGUCGUAUAGCGGUAGGAGCUGAGUAACCGGGCUCCUUCAUUUAAAAAUGUUGGAGUUCGCGUCAAAAUGCCCCGACGGCUAACGACUAAGUCUUUUUGUAUUAAUUAUUAUUGUUCUGAAAAAAAAGGAAAAAAAAUGAAAAAAAGAGAGAAUAAAUAAUGGGAAGGCUUGCUGGUUUUUGGACUUAAUAUGGAGACUUGUGUGAAUAUUUGGACCGUUAGCUGAUAAAUGUUGUGCGCCAUUCCCUUUUCUUAGAGUAGUUAACCUGGAAAUUGAAGGAAUUGGCAGUUUAGGGGCUAACCGGGGGGAUGCUUCUUGGAUUCUAAUCACCAAUGCUCGAUAUGUGUUUUUCUCUUGAAUGUCUUGGCAAUAUAGGAGAUUGGGCAAUGGCCAUCGUCGAAUUUUGGUGUUCGUUUACUUUUCUUAUGCUUGAGGACAAGCAUGGUUUAGGUGUGGGGGGAAUUGAUAGGGUGCAAUUUAUUCAUUUAUUUUAUUAUUAAUUCCUCCUAUUACCUGACUUGAUGUGGAUUUAUUUGCUGGAUUCUACUCACUUUUAGUAUUUGACGUUUAUUUCAGGGAGUAGAAUAUAAAUAUGAUAACAGGUGCCAAAUUGGGAAAAAAAAGAAUUCAGAUGAGAAAGCUUGUCCCAGGGGCACUUUUGGAAGAGAAGAUGUCAUGCCCAUUUUGGUAAUUUUCGCAAGGAAAUGACGGACGGAGGGCUUCGCUUCCUGUGGAGGUCCCGCCGCAAUUAAAAGAGGGAAAGGCAGCAACCCUGUGGGAGCUAGCUUGUUCUUGAUUCUCCGUCUGGAGCUUAGCAGCAAUUUUUGACUUUUCCCUUGUAAUUCACUUUUUGGCUUGAGAAGCCUACGGAUGUUAGGAAGAAAAGGCAUUUGUUAGCCUCGGACUUUGACUUUUCCUUUUCCUCUCUUUUGAAUCCUGCGCAUGGCAGGAGCAUUGGAGAAUUGUUUCUUUUGACUUUUUUCUUUAGCUUGAGACGAAGUGAAAACCAUGAACUUUCGUAGCUUUUCUAUUCAUUCGAUAUAUUGAGACGAAUUGGAUUUUGCCAAAUUUCAACGGACAUGGCCGCUAGUUUCUCUGCAAUUUUGUGUGGGUUUAGUUCAUCAAUUAUGAACUAAUUUUUCCACUCUAGUCAAGGAGCAAUGGAUGCUUUGGGUCACCUAAAAUUGUGAGAUCAUUCUAAUUUAAUAUUUUCCUUUUAUUUAUCGGUAUUCGCAUAUUCCUUGAUUGCUAAGCUUAUGGUUAUUUAAUUAAUUACUUGUCUUGGAUCCGGAUAAUUAAUUGAUUGGGUAAUCUAUUGUCAAUUGGGGUAUUAAAUCCGUAAUUGUUUAAUUACCUCAAAAUAGUGACAAUUGGCAUGAUUAGAUUUGUGUCAGGGGAUUACGUGGGCUAAUCUAAAAUAACCCUGGUAGUGCGUUAUUUGGUUAGAAUAGGGCUCCUCUAAUACGUAAGGCAAUUGGGAAAUUAAAUCUUACGGGCGUACCUAAGAUUAUUUCUCAAUUAGAGCAGUGAUUAACGGGCGUACCUUGAUCACCGACACAGUAAGGAGGAGUUGGCUGCCAUCGCUUGUUUGGUAGUUAUAACCUAUUUAUUGGUAAAUAAGUGGGAUUGGCUUUGCAUCAAUGAUCAAUUAGGUGAACCAUUGCUGAAGUUACUUCUUGGCUAGAUCUUUAGUUAAUAUUUUCUUGAUUGUAGUGGAUUGCCAUUUGACUUUUAAUUGCCUACUUUAUUUUAUUUUUGAUUGUUUCCUCGUUUUAAUUAAUUUAGGCCUUUAAUUAUUGUUAUCCUGAGUUCAGAAAAUUGUGGUUUAAUUUCUAGUUAGUUGUUUAUUUUUACUUUCCCAUUUGAAUUUAUUUAAUUAUCGUCGUUCCUACAAAAUCACCCCCUGUGUCACUUUGGAUUUCUUAAGAAACGAAUAUACCCAGUCUCUGUGGAUACGACCCUACUUACCCUGUCUACAAAUUCAUAAUCACUUGUGAAAAGGAAUAACCAUUCCAUUCGGGUAUAUCGGAUCAAGCAAACUUUUCGGGAAUAGGGUGAAUCAAGUAACCCAUUGCACACCUAGAGUCCCUGCUCCAGUACUUGGAAUUGGGUUUUGGUCAUUUUAACUGGCAAUUAGGUUUAAUUUUAUUAUUGCACAGGCUGACGACCUGUCAACCACAAUUUAAAGGAUACAGGUGGCCCUCAGGAGCCAAAUCCCCGUUGCAAUACUUGAUCCAGCUUCGUUGACUCUCCGUCAAUGUUGAAUAACACACUCAUGUCGGUAGACCCCUCUUACGCCAAAAUCCCGUUCACCAAACAUACCCCUUAUCGGGCCCGAACGCCGAACAGGAACAGUAGUGGUACUACUCGAGUAUACCGGAAUCAAGAGUCUCAAUACCCAAAGAUUAUCCAGGAACAGGUACCCAUGGAUUGUCAAUUAUCUUGACCAAGCACCUGCUGGCUCGAUUUAAUUAACUCCGCAUGAGGUUGAGCUCAAGUUUAACAGAAAGAUCAUUGGACACACUUCCAAACGAUCUCAUAAUAAGUGCAAGUAGCAAGUUCAAGUACAUAACAAGUACAAGUAAUAGAUUCCAGUUCAUUCAGUACAGGCAAGAGAACGAGUGUGAUAAAGUACACCCUCGUCUCAUUCAGAAUAACAGAGUUUCAUAGUUAUCCAUGUCACACAUUUCAAGUAUAGAUGAACCAAUUAAACAACAAUUCAAGGGAGUGAUACACUCACCUAUUAAGGCGAAAUAACGUCCAGAAUAUCUUUCCGAGUAACACUCUCAAUCACCGAUGAACCCUAAGGUUAAUCAAGAGAAAAUAUUACAGUUCCUCUAGCAAAAGUUAGGUGAAUCGAAAACAAUUCAAAUACUACUAGUACAAAGUAUAAAUAUGAUUUUGGAAGUGAAAAGAGUACAUUUAAACCAAAGGACAUGAGUAAAAUAUUUGGAAAACUUAUGCUCGCUCGUAAAACUUUGAAAUAUCCAUUUGAGUUGAAGAAAUGAAGAAAAUGUAUUUCUAUUAAUUGUAAAUUUCAUUUUUUCCAAGUGUACAAGUUUUAGCCAGGCUUGAACUUAUAUACCUCGAUAAAAGAAGAUGCAAAUAUCCUAGAUGGUUUAUAUGGUAUUCGCUCUCAAAUCGUUGCCUAAUCCUCGAGCGUAAAUUUGGGCAGCACACAUUUUAUAUUUACCUAUGUUCCAGCCACUUAUGGCUUCAUUAUUUUCCUCAAUCAACUCCAAAGUCAUACACAAUAUAAAUUCAUCACAACAGCCAUUCAAUAGGCUCAAAGUCAUUCAAGUACAAGAUUUAACUAGGAAAAUGACCGGAAAUGAGCUUUAAGCUAAGAAACCAAAAAGGCAGAUUCACCACUACUUAGCGUAUCGGACAUAACCGAAACUACGCUUAUUGGAUUGAAGUCCAAGUUAUACCGUUUCGAAGCUAAGACAGAGGGUUAUAACUUUGAUGAAGACUACUUAGUCCAAUUCUCACCCUAACUAGGUCAAGUUUACCAAAAUAACCCCAGAUUUUCCAGUUCGAAGCUCAUUGCGAAAUUCAACUAGCAGUUCUGAUUCAUUCAAUCAUAUCUCAACACACCCAACUCCGAUUCAGGUAAUUCCAAAGCCAUUUGAAAGUAAGAUACAAGGCUAUAAUUCUUAAGGAGAUUUCGACAAUCAAUUCGGUAAUAUUCCUGGUCAAACUAACCACUUACAGAGGCUGAUUAUCAUUUUUGACAGAUACAUGGCAGCAGGGGUAAUUUUGUCAUUUCACAAGAUACCCUACUCCGAUUGAGCUGAAAUUUUGUAGGAAGCUAGUUAACAUCAUUUUCUACAACUUUCAUGUUUUAAGCUAAGGCUGAUUCGGCUUCUAACAUGCUCAAAUAAAGACAGACAGAACAGGGAAAAUUAGAACCCUAAAGCUGAAAUUUCCGUACAAAACUGAAAUUUUCCGCAAACAAUCGUAACUAACAUAUACAAGCUCCAUUUUACACCAUAACAAGCUAUCAUACCAUGAUUAAACCAUAAUCAUCCCAUAAAAUCAGAAAAAUCUCCAUUAGAUCAGAAAUUCAACAAACACUAGUUCAACCCAUGAAGUCUUCCACAAAUUAACAUGUUAGACCACUAGAAACCACUAAUCUUUCCUUAUUAAGAACAAAAAGGAGAUUUCUUAGCAACUUACCUUUACAACUCAAGAAAGAUGGCAACUUAGCACCUCCACUUCUAAAACCACUCCACCACCUUCUUCAAUCCUAUCUAGCAAUAGGUUUUUAUGGAGGAAUUUGAAGUUUAAAUGGUUGGAUCAAGAGAUUAAACAAGAGAAUAGAAGGUAAAAGUUGAGGAAUUUUCUCUCUUUUCUCUCUAUGUUGUUCGGCCAAGAGAAAGAAAAAUGAAGAUGAAAUUGGUCAAAAUUCAUGUUUAGUAAAUGUGAAAGAAAGUAGUCAAAGUCCACCCUCCAAUCAAAACGCGGCACCUAGCACCUUUUAGGUUUAACACUUAUCCUUUUGUCUCUCCUAACAAAUUAAUCUAGCUAACCUCUAGUUAUCUCCUAGCACCUAGUCAAUUAAUCCCUUAAUGCAAAACUGAAUCUAAUUGGUCGAAUUAACCGCACUUAACGCACUAGCGGGUCCCACGUCCACUAUACACUUCAAAUAUCUCAUGAACUAACUUAUACUAGAAAAAUAAUUUAAAAACUGUAUUUACUUAUAAAAAUAUCUCUAAAGUUAACAUAAUAACAAAAAUGUAGAAAACGGGUACAACGAAAGAAAAUAAGGCCUAGAAAUUCAGAAAAUUUUCGAGUUCUCACACUCUCUCCCCCUUAAAAGAAUUUCGUCCUCGAAAUUUUUUAUCAUCGCCUUCUUCGGGAUACAAAACUUUUAUUACUUCCUUCUCACAAUCAAAUUGAGCACCGUACUUAGUUAACCAAUCAGUAUCCCUUCACUAGCCAAGCUCAUUGAAUUUUUCGUAUAGUUUUUUCUUCCUUCUCAAAGUGAAAUUCUUAUACACCAUUCUAGUGGUCGUACGGUGGAAUACCAGAAUCUUACCUUCCACGUCUUCAAACGAGUCAGGGGCUUGAUGUUGCUAUAGGGCAUACGCCCGAGCCGACACCUUUUGUCCAUCCUUCUUCCCCUUCGACUGGUCAGGGUUGGUCGUGGUUGGUUGUUGGUUCCUACUCCCUUCUCGAGAUCGGCCUGCGCAGUUUGCAAUUUGAUGAUCUGCGCUCCCACAACGCAAACAUUUUCUUCCUUUCUUCCAACAGACUCCUCCGUGUGAUUCGGCUUCCCACAGUAACCGCAGGGACCACGGGAAGUGGAGACUGAGCCUCUCUGUGAGGCACCACUUGACAUCCCUGGUAGUUGUACUCCCCCGUUGCCCCUUCCAAUCUUAGGAGGCGUACCCUUAUCCCCUUGCUCUGAGCUACUUCCAAGAAAUCCUCUUUUCUUAGUUUGGAAGUUUCUAACUUGUAACCUCGCGCUUUCAACUCGUUGAACUUUCUCCACCGCAUCACUAAAGGCAUUGAGUUGGGCUAUCGCCAAGUCCUUCUGAAUCUCAACAUUUAAUCUCUGGACAAAACGCCUUAUCCUCCAUUGUUCGGUCACAAUUAGUUCGGGAACGAACUUAGACAACCUGGUGAACUGGCUCUCACAUUCGGUGACACUUUGAGUUCCCUGCCGAAGCCUAAUGAAUUCAUCUUCUUUCUUUUCCUAGAUCAGAGGUGGGAAAUACUUCGUGUUGAACUCUCUCAUAAAAUUCACCCACGUCCUUGGGGUUUGUUCUCUUUCCUAUUUCAGUCUUAUGAUAUUCCAUCAAGAACAGGCUGCUCCCUCCAGUUGAAAGACGGCAAAUAUUACCUGUCGCUCCUCAGUAUAAUGUAGCGUGGCAAAAAUAUCAAUCAUCUUCUCUAGCCACCUCUCGGCCACAUCAGGGUUGGGUCCUCCAAGAAAUUCGGUGGUGAGAACUUUUGAAAUCGUUCAAGAGCUUUAUCCUCACCCUCGGUAUGAUUACCAGGAUUUCCCGGCUGAGUAAUAGGAUUUUGGCCUUACUGUUCCACUACGUGAGCCAAAAGGUCGGUCGUUCAGGGUUGGAUUCAGGCAUUGGUUCCCGAUUUCCCCCUUCAUUCAAGGGUUGCCUACAUCCACAGCCCCGGCCUCGUCCAUUACGAGUUCCUUCCAUUGGAUUAACUAAUCUAGGCUCAAGGUGCGAAUACAAUAUACAACUAACGAGGUCAGUCAGUCAGAUAUAUAUAAUACAUCCGAAUCAAUUCAAAAGCAAAUAUACAUAUAACACGACUAUAUCAAACAAAUCACACAGUAACAGUCAGUCAAAUACAAGCAAAGGAAAUUCUAGGGAAGUAAGGGGGUCAUUCAAUAGUACACACUAUGAACUAAACCAGGAGUACAAAAGCAACUAACGAAAAGCUCCCCCCCUAGGGUUCUAUCCGUAAUCUACAAAAAAUCGCAAUUUAUCUCUUAAGCAGGGUUAAUCAUCCACACAUCAUAUAAAGUUCCGUAGAAUCAGAUGUCUAAUUCGCCAAGUCAUUCUAACCUAGGCUUCCAUCCCAUUUCGUAUUCGGGUACAAGAAUCCAAAAUAAGAGAAUUUACCACUCGAGCUGGCCAGUCCCAAGAGUAAAUCAUCUACAUUUGAAAUUCCUACCCGACAUAUGUAUUCAUAGUCUCUAAGUACCAAAAUAAUGUUUUAAAACCUAUAAUACACUGUGAUCCAUAGCUUAUGCUCAAAAGAGCACUUAGUCCCUUACACUCAUUCACAUGAUCGAGACCACAACACCACUUGGCCCCAAGCUCACUCCGGGUAGAGACCACGCGAAGCGGUUCUGAUAUCACCUGUGAUAGCCCCACCUUCCCCUAAGGUGUACCAAAGAGGUUAGCGGACUGCCUGCCUAACUCUCGCUAGGACUACUAAGGCGGUUAUACACAACUCAAAACGUGUCGGAAUACAGUAGCGCGCGUAAACAAAGCAAAAAUCACGAAAUAGAAAAAGAAAAUCGAAAUAGAAAGUGAAUAGUGCCUGCCACGUCACCAUCCGACCGGGACCCAAUCGAAUACAAGUGACUUCAUAUAAUCCUUGAAAUGGACAUAUAUAAACCAAACAUAACACAUGAACAUGAGUACAUGCUUUUAUCAACCACAUUCAUAUUUUUAUAAAUCAAAAGGGAACAUUUGAAUCCAAGUACAAUUAGGAUUUCCAACCAUUGAGGAGCUAUACAAAAUAUCUAAACUAGCUCAACUCAUGCUUCAAAAUCACAGUUCCAAAAGUGGUUCCUUGUAAGGAAAACAAGGAUAACGGAACGGGGUGAGUUAGAAGCUCAAUGAGGUACCAAAAGCAUAACGGUGAAAAUCAUGAGAAAACACUUUUAGGGCACACAUACACAUCAAGUAAGAGAAAUAAACGAACACCACAAUUUAAAAGAUACAGGUGGCCCUCAGGAGCCAAAUCCCCGUUGCAAUACUUGAUCCAACUUUGUUGACUCUCCGUCAAUGUUUAAUAACACACUCAUGUCCGUUGACCUCUCUUACGCCAAAAUCCCGUUCACCAAACAUACCCCUUACCGGGUCCGAACGCCGAACGGGAACAGUAAUGGUAAUACUCGAGUAUAGCGAAAUCAAGAGUUUCAAUACCCAAAGAUUCUCCAGGAACAGGUACCCAUGGAUUGUCAAUUACCUCAACCAAGCCCUUGCUGGCUUGAUUUAAUUAACUCCCCAUGAGGUUGAGCUCAAGUUUAACAGGAAGAUCGUUGGACACACUUCCAAAAGAUUUCAUAACAAGUGCAAGUAGCAAGUUCAAGUACAUAACAAGUACAAGUAAUAGAUUCCAGUUCAUUCAGUACAGGCAAGAGAACGAGUGCAAUAAAGUACACCCUCGUCUCAUUCAGAAUAACAGAGUUUCAUAGUUAUCCAUGUCACACAUUUCAAGUAUAGAUGAACCAAUUAAACAACAAUUCAAGGGAGUGAUACACUCACCUAUUAAAGCGAAAUAACGUCCAGAAUAUCUUUCCGGGUAACACUCUCAAUCACCGAUGAAUCCUAAGGUUAAUCAAGAGAAAAUAUUACAGUUCCUUCAGCAAAAGUUAGGUGAAUUGAAAACAAUUCAAAUACUACUAGUACAAAGUAUAAAAAUGAUUUUGGAAGUGAAAAGAGUACAUUUAAACCAAAGGACAUGAGUAAAAUAUUUGAAAAACUUAUUCUCGCUCAUAAAACUUUGAAAUAUCCAUUUGAGUCGAAGAAAUGAAGAAAAUGUAUUUCUAUUAGUCGUAAAUUUCAUUUUUUCCAAGUGUACAAGUUUCAGCCAGACUUGAACUUAUAUACCUCGAUAAAAAAAGACGCAAAUAUUCUAGAUGGUUCAUAUGGUAUUUGCUCUCAAAUCGUUACCUAAUUCUCGAGCGUAAAUUUGGGCAGCACGUCCUUUGUAUUUACCUAUUUUCCAGCCACUUAUGGCUUCAUUAUUUUCCUCAAUCAACUCCAAAGUCAUACACAAUAUAAAUUCAUCACAACAGCCAUUCAAUAGGCUCAAAGUCAUUCAAGUACAAGAUUUAGCUAGGAAAAUGACCGGAAAUGAGCUUUAAGCUAAGAAACCAAAAAGGCAGAUUCACCGCUACUUAGCGUAUCGGACAUAACUGAAACUACGCUUAUUGGAUUGAAGUGCAAGUUAUACCGUUUCGAAGUUAAGACAGAGGGCUAUAACUUUGAUGAAAACUACUUAAUCCAGUUCUCACCCUAACUAGGUCAAGUUUACCAAAACAACCCCAGAUUUUCCAGUUCAAAGCUCACUAUGAAAUUCAACUAGCAGUCCUGAUUCAUUCAAUCAUAUCUCAACACACCCAACUGUAAUUCAGGUAAUUCCAAAGCCAUUUGAAAGCUAAGAUAGAAGACUAUAAUUCUUAAGAAGAUGUCGACAACCAAUUCGGUAAUAUUCCUGGUCAAACUAACCACUUACAGAGGCUGAUUAUCAUUUUUGACAGAAACAGGGCAGCAGGGGCAAUUUUGUCAUGUCACAAGAUACCUGCUCCGAUUGAGCUGAAAUUCUGCAGGCAGCUAGUUAACAUCAUUUUCUACAACUUUCAUGUUUUAAGCUAAGAUUGAUUCAGCUUCUAGCAUGCUCAAAUAAAGCCAGACAGAACAGGAAAAAAUUGGAACCCUAAAGCUGAAAUUUCUGCAUAAAACUGAAAUUUUCAGCAAACAAUCGUAACUAACAUAUACAAGCUCCAUUUUACACCAUAACAAGCUAUCAUACCAUAAUUAAACCAUAAUCAUCCCAUAAAAUCAGAAAAAUCUCCAUUAAAUCAGAAAUUCAACAAACACUAGUUCAACCCAUGAAGUCUUCCACAAAUUAACAUGUUAGGCCACUAGAAACCACUAAUCUUUCCUUAUUAAGAACAAAAAGGAGAUUUCUUAGCAACUUACCUUUACAACUCAAGAAAGAUGGCAACUUAGCACCUCCACUUCUAAAACCACUCCACCACCUUCUUCAAUCCUACCUAGCAAUAGGUUUUUAUGGAGGAAUUUGAAGUUUAAAUGGUUGGAUCAAGAGAUUAAACAAGAGAAUAGAAGGUAAAAGUUGAGGAAUUUUCUCUCUUUUCUCUCUAUGUUGUUCGGCCAAGAGAAAGAAAAAUGAAGAUGAAAUUGGUCAAAAUUCAUGUUUAGUAAGGUGAAAGAAAGUAGUCAAAGUCCACCCUCCAAUCAAAACGCGCCACCUAGCACCUUUUAGGUUUAACACUUAUCCUUUUGUCUCUCCUAACAAAUUAAUCUAGCUAACCUCCAAUUAUCUCCUAACACCUAGUCAAUUAAUCCCUUAAUGCAAAAUUGAACCUAAUUGGCCAAAUUAACUACACUUAACGCACUAGCGGGUCCCACAUCCACUAUACACUUCAAAUAUCUCAUUAACUAACUUAUACUAGAAAAUAAUUUAAAAACUGUAUUUACUUGUAAAAAUAUCUCUAAAGUUAACAUAAUAACAAAAAUGUAGAAAACGGAUACAAAGAAAGAAAAUAAGGCCUAGAAAUUCAGAAAAUUUUCGGGUUCUCACGGGAUCAUCAAAGUUUCUUUCUUCUCCCCUCCUCGGUUGCAGCAAAUGCUUUUUCCAGUAAAACAGUGGCUUAUCUUUUGGCAUUUUCUCGCCUUUACUUCCUCAGUUUCUGGUCUCAAUCACUUAUGCAGAGGACACUCAAUCUACUGCAGGUUAUCCUAAGCUAAGCAGAGUCGUUCAUGACCAAAAUUCAGAGGAAAGCUGGGCUAAAUCCCGUGCCUGAGCUUAGCAGCAAAACCUGAUGCAUGGCAGCAUGCAUCAGACUCCAUCGAAUUCAGUUUUACGUCCCAACUGAACGUAUAGAGGCUAAUGACUUAGCUAAAAAUUAUCCUAAAGAAAGGAUGACAGUUUAUGAUCAGAAUUCACGAGAAUACUGAAGAAAUAUCUGUUGCAAGCACUUCUUAAUGUUAUCAUCCCAAGAAAAAUUUGAUAACAGUUGCAGGUUCAGGCUUUAAUCUCAGUUUUCUGCAAUUUCCCUUUUCCUGCAAUUUUACAGUUGCUACCCGACAUUUACUUCAGCCACAAGCUCAAAUUCCCAGCUAAAUUCGACAUGCAGCUGGUGUUUAUCCAAUUAUACCAACUAAAGAGCGAGUUGUUAUAAAAUCUUACCUGUUCCCCUUAAAAUUCGAUGUUGCAGGCUGCUCAAGUUUCGGUUUCAGCUCCUCAAUUCCUAGCACUCGAUUCUCCCGUUCCUUGCAGUCCCUUCCUCAGCUCUGGCUAAUUGAUUAUGAUGCUUACCUAAGUUGUAACUGGUUUCUCUUAACCUUGCUCUCUCUCUUUUCACUCACUCGAGUCUGUUUUUGAAAGAAAGUAAGAAAGGACGACAGCUUUGGUUUUGUCUCAGCCACCGCCAAUUUUUGUUUCUUUACGCUGUUCUCAUUCGGUUAUUGCUUAUUCAGCAAUUUGGUGAUGCAUUCCCUCCUGACAGCUGUCUCAAUUCACCACCCAACCUCAGUUAGAUCCUAACCUCCCACCGCUUGGAUUUAGCAGAUAAUUGCCUAGCUUCCAUUCGGUUCCAUUUGUUUUUGUGAAAUUCUGAUAGCUCAAGUGAUGGCCGCAUGGUAAUUAGUCUAGAAUUUUAAGUUUAGUUUGGUCUUUUGGUUGUAGUUUAAUUACUCUCUAAGUCCUGAAAUUUUUAUAAUUUUAUGCAUGAACUCCUAACUUCAUUUGUAUUUUCGUGGGAAAUUUCUUACAUUGAUUUUUAACACAUGUAGCUUUAAGAAAAACUUAUUAGACAUGUACUUGUUACACUUUUAGUAUAGGUUACGUGUCUAAUAAUAUUUGCAAUUAACACAAUUUACGAUAUGCAUGUCAUAUAUUUAUUUAAUUCGUAAAAUUUUCUACACUUCUAGACAUGUACUUAUUGAAUUUAUUUUCAAAAUUCUCAAUUUAUAGGGAUUCAAUAAGACAUUUAAGGUAACCGUUUAUUCGUUAUAUAUAAUUUUUCUCAUAUCAAAGUAAAUAAAAUAAAAUAAUUUUAGGGUAUACACAUAAUUUUCUCGGGUUCUCACAUCCUUCCCCCCUUAAAGAAAUUUCACCAUCGAAAUUCGUACCUUCCAUUAUAAAGAGUUCCAGGUAUUCUUUUCGCAUCUUAUCUUCUAGUUCCUAGGUUGCUUCCUGUAUCUCUUAAAUGCAACCCGUGUAUAAUUCGUAAUGGAUAAUUUUACCUCCCGUUCCCUAUGUUGAUUUACAAACCCAACCACUUGAUCCUGUCGGGGUGCUAUACACUCUAAAAGGCCAGUCAUCCGAUUUAAAGCAGUAGCUACUAGAUCACUUAUAUGGGUUCCUUGUUCCUAGUUUUGGUUAAUUGCAGAUUCCUGCUCUUCCCCUUGCUCUUGGGUUUGCCUAGGUUUAUGGCUUCGUCGUCGUGGUCCAACUUCUAUAUCUCACUACCAAUUUAUAUACAUAAUUGACAAUUAACUACAUAUACUUAGGUUAACAAGCAAUCUCAAUCCAAAAGCUAGCAAAUUCAUCAAAGCAAUCCAAAAGCUACAUAUACAUAUCCAUCGGUCAAGUUAAUUUGGGAUUUUUUUUUUCCAUGGAGUGAUUUAGACGAAGUUGAAAGAUGAAUCAAAUUACUCAAUACUCGAAUCGAAAUCUGAUUGGUAAAAAUUCGUUCGAUCUUAGUUUCCCAAUUCUCAAUUAAUCAAGCCAAAUUUGAACAGCAUUUUAUGUUCUAUAACAGUCAAAUUUGAUAUAAAACUUGUUCAAACUCGAUUUGACAAAUAAACAAACCAAACUUUAAAGAUAAUAGCCAAUAUAAUUUUGGAAUGAUAAUGGACUCUAAUUAAAAUCCACCCAUCAAGUUAAUCUGGGAUGUUUCUUUCCAUGGAGUGAUUUAGGAACUCUAGGAUCCAACCGCAAACGCGAUAUCAAACUUUGAGAGACAAACUUCACUAAACGCAACCAAUAAUUGAAUAAAAAAACAAAUGCUUUGGAUAUAUUUAAGAAAACUUAAUAAUUAGGAUUUCCAGUCACAGAGCUGCAACUAUUUACGCCAUAACGUUAGUGUCUUUCCCUUAUAUAUGAUAUAUUUAUUUCAUCAUUGCUUUCAGCAUCUAUUUCAUCUUUGUUUCCUACUUUUCUUUCAAAAUAUUUUACCAUACAAAAAUUUCUUUAUUCAUACUACAAAAUCCAUCCUAACUUGAAAAAAUAUUUGAAUUAGGGUUCACACUUUGCGAAAACCUAAUAAGCAAAAGAUAGUGUAUGAUCGAAAUAACGUAGAAGGAGAAAAGAUUAAAAAAAAUCAAAUCUGUCUUCCAAUUAAUUUUGCAGCAAAUCAAUGGGGAACCACCAAUUUCAGCACAAAAUAUAAUGAUAAACAGAGGGAGAACAGAAGAUGAAGUACUUUUUAUGAUGAUUUUGUUACAAACUAAAUAUUUGUUAAUUAAAUAUUUUGAUAAUCAAUACAGGCUUCAAUAAGCUACUCAUUUCUAGCAAUGAAAUGGCACAAUAUGGUAAGCCAUCAAUAUAAACUCAGUUUAUACUGAAAGUAUAUAGAAGAUUUACUCUUUUAGCUCAUUGCAUUUGGUGUCAUUUGCUCCGUAAAAGAGUUAAAGUGCUUUAGUGUGAACAUGUAUGCAAUUGAAGCAGUCAAAGUAGUUCUACACUUCUCAUAAUGGCUCCAACCCUCACCUCCAAUGUGUUUUCCUUUUUCAAUACUUUUUGUGCUUUUUAUAUGUCUCUAUGGCACCCAAUUUAAAAAAAAAAAAAAACCAAGCACAUAUUUUAAUACUACCAAAAAGAAGGGGAAAAAUGCUUGGGUAGAAAUAGUUUGUCGACUCAUUUGUAGACCAUAUUGGUAUUCAAGAAUAAUUACUUUUGACAUACGAUGACAUACAAAAAGUGGUAGUUAUCAUGUAUGAUGAUGCAGGAAAAUUAAUGUAUCUCUUAAAAAUGUAUAUGAUUCACAAGUAAACUCAUAUACCAAGAACCUACUAAAGUGUUUUUCAAAGAGAAAAAAAAUGAAGAAAUAAGUGUCCUGCCAAUAUAGGACCUAACACUCUACCGACACAACCCCCCCAAAAAAAAAAGGAGAGAUUGAAACUUGAUUUGCCGAUAUGUCCAAAAUUGUUUCCCUCAUUUAUGCUUGUGUGAGGAACCAAAAAACAUUUAUAACAAAGAAUGCUGAUUGAAAAGGAACUAACAAAUAAGAUAUGGAUCACUUUGACAUUCAAUCAGUAGCAACCAUGUCAACUUGUUGCAUAAUGCGCGCAGUUUUUUGACUUCCAAUCCAUUGUAUUUUGCUUCUUUUGCUCAUGACCCUACACACGUGGUACAUUGAACAAAUCUGACUUGCUUAAUCUAGCAAGUGGUGCCUGUCCAUAUGCAUCAAAGUCUACUACUUGACCUGUACCACUGAGCACAACUCAUUGAGUUCAUAUUAUUGAUUGAUAAAGUUGAUCUCAGAAAAAUAUUAAAAAUAAAUCAUUAAUUUAGGGAUCGAGACCUCAUAAGUUGAAUUUCUAUCUAGUUUAUGUAGUUCAAACUGACUAUUAUAAUUCUUAUAAUAUUUAUUGUAAACUCACGUAGUUUAGAUGUAAACUUGAAUCUAUCAACUUAUAAGUAAAUUCUUGAAUUAUGAUGAAAAAAAAAAAGAGUUUCUACAAGUAAAGCUAUUGGUGGAGGCGAAUCUAAAAUGAGGUUGUUCGCAUUUGUUGAAUGCGAACUUAACGAGCUAGGAUAUAUAUAUAUAUUUUAAAAGAAAGUACCUCGUAUUUCUCAGUCUCUUUCACCUAAACCCAAAAAUAGAGCUCCGUUCUUUACGUCAAACAUUCGGCAUUCAAAUCCAUAAGCAGAGGGGCAGAAAUUGGAACGAAACUUUGCACAUCCAGCUCACUCUCUCGUCUUUUGCGUAGCUAGACACCAGUCCAAGCUUCCAAGAGGAAAUUGCCCAAAAUCCCUCAAUCUCUUUCUUUCUCGUCGGUUGUUGUCCGCCAUUGUUGAGCUUCCACCAGACGCCAUUUGCACGCCAACCAGCUGCCAUUUCUGCCUCAGCAGUCAUCCCCAACCAAAUUUGUGACCCUUUGCGCUGCACAUUUUCUUUUCCCUUCGCAAAUGGCUUUCAAAUUCGUGGCUGUGCUCUGUAGCUCACAAACAGCAUAAAAGGUAUGAACUUUUGUUGCAAAGCCUGAUUUUUAUGCGUUUUAUAUUUAUUUAAUACUUUAAUCCGAUGUAAAGUUCAGAUUUGAUGUCAAAUUUGGAUGUAAAUAUCAUGUGGGUUGUGCUGCUUUUUCCAUUUUUUUCUGUCGAGUCUGAGGAAAUAUCUUCAGGGAGGGGAAAUCCUUGGGUCAAAUGACCCACUGCACCGCAGAGCCAGAGUAAACGUAAAUGCAGAAAGAAAACGACAGAGACAGAUGUAGAUAAAAUUAGUGGUAUUUGCAUAUAACUUCACAGCUAGUCCUGCUUCAUUUUCUUUUGAGUUACCGAUAACUUUGACUUGGUUCUAGUGUUCAUGUGACCAGCCAUUUGGCAUUUUUGCAUGAUACCAGUAAGUUGGAUUUCGUGAUUAGCAUCCACGGUAUUGGCAUUGCUAUUUAUAACUUGGCAAUUUUGAAAGUUUACUAGCUGGCUGCUUAAUAUACGGUUAAUGCUUAAAAUAUGCUGAAUCAAUUAGGAUUCUCUUAGUGAAUAGUCUGUUUGUGGCAUUCUAGUGGCUAAGUUAAGUUGUCCAUCUUUUAGUUUUGUUGUAAUGCUGUUUCUUCAGUACCUUGAUGGGUUGUAAUGCUACCAGACCAGUAAGGUUUCAGGUUCUAGUUCAUGCUUUUGUAACCCCCCCAAAAAAAAAAAAACUGCUAUUAGCUACUUACUAUUAAACGAUGCAAUUUGUUUUACCUUUUUAAGUAGUGGUAUGUAUUAGCUACUUGUUUUGAAGUUUUGCUUCUUAUUGAGAAACUAUGUAUAGUUUUGAGAUGCAGGAAAAACCUGUAGGUCCUUGCACCAUAUAUCUAGUCUUACAAUUCUGAGUUAUCACUGUUAACAAUUCUAGAUCAUCAACAUUUGCAUAAUGAGGCUCGCUUAGGUAAUACACCUAAAUAACUGUUUUUGCAUGGCUAGAAACCUUGAGGUACCCAGUCCAUUUGCUAUUCAAGACACACUGCUGGCACAGUGGUCUUUCUUUCUGCAACAUUCAACCUUCUUCCAUCUUAAAUCUGAUCAUUGAGUAUAGUCAGUAAGGUCCAUCCUAAUAUGAUUGGAUUUUGAAGAAUCUAAAUAUUUUGUACUUGCAUGUAGGCUUAUGAAUGCAUGGAAGUUUUGAUCCCAAUCUUAGUUAAUUGUGAGGGCAACUGUGAAUUUUUCUUGGUUGAGGAACUAGAAUGAAUAUACCCAUUCCGGACUGUACAACUCCUCUGUUUUUAUUUUUAUAUUUUAAAUCUGUUCAUACAAUCAACCAUGGAAAAAAUUGCAAGCUCGGUAGAAGCAAGAGUUGGGGAUUGGGGCAUACAACCUGUAUAAGGGUCACUUUUUUGAAGAAAUUCUAAUGCCAUGAAGUUUGAGUUUGACAAUGGCAUAUUAGUUUCUAAAAAGCAAAAGAAACAAUGGCAUAAUUUCUAGUUCUUGACGAUGGCAUAUGGUGAAUAUUCUAGAAACCAACUUAACCUCUAGGACUUCUUAGCAUAUGGAGAAUAUGCUAGAAACGAACUUAACCUCUUGGACUUCUUAGCAUUCUAUUCAUUUUCAGUCUCACUUGCGUAGUUAGCCUUUUAGUUCUGCCACCUAGUUAAAUUAUUGCAGAAUGCCUUGCUUUAUGUUACCUUAGCAACAGGGGUUAAAAUGAUCUUGGUACAUCAUGGACGCCAGUCCAAUCCAAAAUUCUUGAACCAAAUUGAAGAGUUUAUUUCUUAUAGCUGUCAUGAAUUUUCUGGUGUUUGAAGCAAGUGAUUGUAAAUUGUAUGCUUAAAGUGUUUGAUUUUUCCUUAUAAUGGAAUUUAUGGUUGGAUAAGCAUCUAGAAACAUAUUAACUUGAUCAGAAAAUUCACAAGGCUUGUAGGUGGAAGUUUAUGUUGGUUUUUGAGAUAAUUGAGCUGAUCACUUCCUGUACAUAUCUCAGGAAAUUGAUCAAGGUUGUGUUGUUUUGUGUACAUCAAUGUUUGAACAGAACUUAUAACAGGUUCCAUAUACAGCUUGACUCGCUUUGGUUAACACUCUGCUUAGCAAGUUGGUCAUAUCCAUAUUGUUGGAGAUGGAGGAGCUACGGCAACUCUCCCAAGCAUUUAUAUCAACUAGUAAUAGUUCACGUGCUUUGCACGUGAUUGUAAUAUUUUAAAAUAUAUUAUUUUUCAGAUACUAAAAAUUUUUUAUGAAAUUUUGAUCAUCAACAUCAUAAUAUAGUAUUUUUAUGUUAUUUAUUUUUUUAAGCUAGUUACUUUUAAAAAUUUUAUUAAAUGAAAAGAGACAGAAAACAUUCCAAUGUAGUUGGCAUAUCCCUUAAGAUUGAAUUUGAAAUCAUGAAUGAAACACUUUUUGAUUUAUAGCUUGAAUUCUAACAUAUCAAAUAUUGAUAAUAUCAUGUUUUACCAAAAGUAUUGUAUAUACAUGACUCUAUUGCAUAUAAACCACAAUCAUCAAAAUUUUUUAUAAACGAAGAAUAUAAUUAAGUUAGAAAAAUAAACAUACAUGUAAUUUGAAUUCUUUGUAUUAUGUUAAUUCUAUUUUUGUCAAUAAUGGAGUAUAAAUGAUCCACCACGUAAAGUUUUUUUGGCUUGUACAUUCUAACAAUUGAAAUUUUAUAGAUAGAGAUAGUUGGAGUUUUUCUAUUUUCCUUUUCUUUUAUUCAUGUUUUUAGCACAAUCCAAUGCGAAGUUAGUGAUAUUUUUAACAUUUCAAGAAUUUUAAGUGAUAUUAGACAAACCCUCAAGGGAGGUUUCCAAGAAUGAAUUUCUUUUUUUUUUCUGAGUUUCUUUUUUUUCUGGGAUUUUUUGUUUUCUGAAUUGAAAUGGUUUUUCUGAUUGGCAAUUUAUUGAGCGUUCUUGUUCUUUCGUUUUGUCUCUUAUUUGCUUGCCAUGCCUAGUCUUCAAUGAUGGUGUCAUUUGUUGAUGCAUUUGGUCUCGUGUUUGAGUUGUAAAUUCGUGUGAUUAGAUAGAUAUUUUUUGGAGCGAUAUUUAAGCAAGAAAGUGUAAAUUCCUGUGAUUUUAUGGAUGUAUACAAGGCGUUUGUGAAAAUUCCUGAACAGAAGUUGCUAACUUCUGCAAUAUAUGAGGCGUCCUCCUGCCUCAAAGAUGAUGAAUUAAGUGAAGUUGUGGAUAUAAUAUGAAAUGCACCGCUCUGGAUAUAAUUUGUUUCAGCUUGAUUUAAUAAUGAUAUACACACAAGAACAAUAAGCUGACUCGUAUUACCCCAAAAAAUUUUCGUCAUAAUCCACUUGAUUAUAGGAAGAAGCAAUAGGAACCCAAUAGUACAUGAUAGAGUUCCAAAAAUGCAGCGCCACGAAUAGAAACAGCAACAGCAGCCAAGCUGCUCCUCCCACAUGAUUUUGCUUUCCUUUACGCAUCCCUAUGUGAUUCUCAUAGCAGCUCAACAGGUUUAAACUGCCUUUUAGAAGAUAUUUCAGGGUCAAGAACUUGGUAUCAGGGGGAGGUCUACAACUGUUUAUGAAUGUAGUGGAAGCUGGAGGUUGUAGUCACUAAGAAAGAACUUGGUAUCUGGGGGAGGGCUUAUAGGGAUUAUUAGACAGCUAUUUAUGAAUGUAGUGGAAGCAACAGGUUGUAGUCACCAAGUUAUGCCAUGGUUGGAUUAAAUGGUCAUAUUUUGAUCAAAGUAAAAAUAGAAUGAAAGGCAAAGAGCUUGCUUUGGUUAUUGCAAAAAAAAAAAAAUGGCACUAAGACCUGUGAAUAUUUUGAUUCAGCUCUCCUGAUUUUGAAAAUUCUUAUUAGAGGUUUUUUUAUCCAAUUGAAAGGGAAAAAAUGCUUGCAUUCUAUAUUUUUAAAGAAGAGUUGUGUUUAAAUUUAAGAAGCAUUGAUAAUUGAUAUCAUCAUGCUUUGACUUGCCAUGCAGGAGUGGCUACUGGUUUUGCUGCUAGAGACAUCCUUGGGAAUGUCCUCAGUGGGCUAUCUGUACAGAUCUCACGUCAAAUUUACCACUUAACUGUUGGGGCCUCCACAUCGUUGUCCUAUACAUGUGAAGUAGCUUGCAUACAGUCUCAUUUUUUGUUUUAAACAAGUACCAAGAAUUAAGAAGAGUAUUUUUGAAUUGCUCUAUUGCUUGGUUUCAGAUGUCUAAAAAUGAAUGUUCAGUGCAUUUCCAGCAAUCUUCAGCUUGUAGUUCUUGUUCAUUGAAAUUCAAAGCAAUGACAUUCAUCGCAAGAAAUUGCUCCUUGCUUUUGCCCGUGUCAAAUGGCUUAACCUCAGCUCUCUCUCAAGUUCCUCAACAGGAUUAAGAAUCCCUCUUAAUUAGGUUGUUUUAGUUUAACUCCAUUGAGGAGGGUACAUACAUCCAACCCGGCCUUGGUUAAUUUUCUUACUAUGGUAUACUUUUGAAGGUGGUGCAAUACAACUCAACUACCGCAUUCCAGUGUACUUUUUUCUUUAAUUUUUUUUUGUGGUCUUUUAUUGAGCAAGCAUGUUAGUUCCUUCCAAGUAAGAAAUGUCAAAAAAGAUAUAGAUGCAAUUUGCAAGUUCCAUAUUCCAAAUCAACCAUUAUUUUGAAUAUGAACACAGUUCAUUAAUUCUUGAAUUGUUAGUACAAACACCCUCUACUUGAUUACUUUUAUAUGCCAACAAGCAUUUGCUUAUCAUCACUCUUCACUAAAAUAUGUGCAUAUAUAGAUAGCCCUGUGCAUUUCCACUCUCCUCGUUGGACCGCAGAGCAUAGAAGAACAUAUCCACACUAAAGUAAUUAGGCAACCAAUUCGGAGCAAUAAUGCCUCUUCUCAAAAACAUUCAUAUGGCUUAUCCAUAUUAUUCAUAUGGAUUUAUUCCUCUAUGAUAAAUGCCAAUGCAAAAACAAAAAUGAUCGUGAGCUCCUAAUUAAAAAAAAAAAAGCAAAUUUUGAAUAUAAUUUUCUAGGAAUUUACAUUUAUCGAAUGCGAGAUCCAAAUUAUUUAGUCCUCGCACUCAAUGAAUGCAUAAACAAUUAUUUUUUAAAAAAUAAGAUUGUACUAGACAUUGCAUUUAGUAAAUGAGAUAUCUGCAAAAUAAAUAUUUUUUUAAUUAAAAUAUUUAAUUUUUUUAAUUAAAUAUUUAGUACUCGAAGAAAACAAAUAUUUUUUAAAUUUAUAUUUGAAGGAUCUCGCAUUUAUUAGUAAAUGCGAGCUCCAAGAAAACAAAUUUACUAUUACAUGCGAGCUAUAAAAAAACAAAAAUAUUUUUUAUAUUUACUUUUUUUAGGAGCUCGCAUUUACUCAUAGAAAAUAAAUAUUUUUUAAAGGAGAGCUCUGACAGGACAAUAUUUUUCAUUUCGUGACAGCUCUAACAUAAACAAAAAGAAAAUGAUGUCUUUGUUGAUGGAUUUCAAUUUUCAACAAUCAGUGCAUUAUCAUAUGAAAAUGAUGGUUAUCUACUGCCUAUUUCUUUACAUCCUUAUUAGCACUGAUAAACAAACACUAUAUUGAGAUUCCUUUCCUACGCUAUGACAAUAAACUGGUCCCUGGGGCAAGAUAAAUCACUUCCUUUGGUCUAAAAGCAAGGUUCGUCAACUGGCUUCAAGUAGACAUACUGAAAUAUUAGCAAAUUCUGCCAUCUGUGUCUUGAACACUAUCUUUGGCUUUACCAUUUGCUAUGACAGGCAAAUUCUUCAGUUCUUCAGAGAGCACGAAUGUUCCCUUUCUUGAUUUUUUCCUGUUAUCUUUUCCAUGAACAAGUGAUACUAAAUUUCUGACUAUGGAUUUUGUUGUAGAUAAACUGUAAUUCGUUGUACCUUUCUUAUGUUGCUGCAAUGGAUUCCAGUUACCUGAAAAAUGUGUAAUCUGAUAAUUGUACAUGUCAUUUUGCAGGCACUGGAUGCCUUUAAUACAGCUGUGGUGUCCCCAGUAUAUUAUGUUAUGUUUACAUCCCUCACCAUCCUAGCUAGCAUUAUAAUGUUUAAGGUACUUUCAUUUGGCUUUUAUUAUUAGCUUUUUCCUUUCGUGUAUAUAUAUAUAUAUAUAUAUAUAUAUAUUUUAGUGUUGUGGAUUGGGAGGAGGAGGGACGAAUCAGAGCAACAAAAGGCUGACUUUCAAACUUUUCAUGCAGGACUGGGACAGUCAAAAUGCAUCGCAAAUUGUCUCUGAAGUAUGUGGCUUUGUGACUAUCCUGUCUGGAACAUUCCUUCUCCACAAGACCAAGGACAUGGGAGGUGUAAGCAGCACUAGUAACACGACCGUGCCAUCUCCUGUAUUCCUGGCAUCACGCCAGAAUUCUGGGGUCUGAGCUUUGAGAUGAGAUCGCAUUCUGCGGUCUGUGGUCUGAGCACAGUGACCUCGUAUUUAAGAGAUGCGAGGUAACUGACCUCGCAUUUAAGAGAUGCGAGGUCUGGUUUUCUUUUUUCUUUUUUUUUUUUGGAUUUCGUUGGAGGAAAAUUCAAGAGACUUCGCAUUCAGCAAAUGCGAGUUGAGGGAGCUCGUAUUUGCUGAAUGCGAAGAUCCCUUGGAUGGAACCCCACACUCAAAAUGCCCCAUUUGUAGAAUUUUUUUAAAAUUCAUCAUAAUUUUAGAAAUUUCUCAUCAACUUAUACAACUAAAUUGAUGCACAGUUUAUAAUUACUUCAAAAUUGUACUAAGUUUAUACCAGAAGUAAUACAAAUUAUAAUAAUCAGUUUGAACUCGACGUUUUUCAACUUGUGAGGUCAGAUCCCGAACACAGACUAAUUUUUUGCUAUAUAUACAUGUCAUCUUUACUCUUUUCAAACACGAAUUGCAAAGAGAUUAAAGAUUGGAAAUGGCUAAAUCUCAACUGAUCAGCUACAAGACCUUGGUUGCAGUCCUCUUCUGCUUUCUCCUCAUUGCUUCAAUCGGUUAGUUGUCAAAAACUUCCACUAUUUAUACCAAACUUUGCAGUGAAUCACGCACCUGAAGUCAUUCUUUAUUCCAAUUUCCCAAGUAUGUAAUGCUCUGGCAUGUUGUCAUAUAUCAAUAUUACCAUUACAUAACAAAAUUUUAAAAAGAAUUAGUAUAGUACUUAACUACUAAUAAUAGUCUUAAGUCCAAGAGAGAUUAUCAAAGUUGGAUACAAAAAUGCAACUCUCUUGCACUACAUAAACAAAUGGAUUUUUGUUUAUUUUCUGAGAUGCGGUCAUCAACUUUUUCUUUUCUGUCAACCGGCAUUUAUAACUUAGCCCCUCACUUGUUCUCGUUCUUUACUUAGGCCUACUAUACUUCCUUAUGAAAAUUAAGAGUUGCAUGAAAACCACAUAUUUACAUUAAUCUUUAGGGCCCUUUAGAAACUAUUAGAAAGGGUAAACUUGAUUUAGCUUUACUAAGCAUCAUGCUCUGAUCACAUAAACAAAAACAAUUAACAAAAAAAACUGAAAAUUUUUAACAUGUUCUUGCUUAUUGUAUACAGAGUUACAGAUGGCGGAGGUAGUAGGAAAAAUUUGCUCGAAGCGCAGCCAGACAUGGACUGGGAUAUGCAUAAAAACUGAGAAUUGCGAUAGCCAAUGCAAGAGUUGGGAGGGAGCUCAGCAUGCAGCUUGUCACAGAAGCGGCUUUGGAUUUCCUUGCUUCUGUUAUUUUAAAUGCUGAGGGAAAUCUCCAUCUUUGGUUCCAUUAAAACUGUCUGUGUUUCCUGUUUCUGGAGUUACAAAAAGCUAGCUGCUGCACAUUCCCAAGAUUUGCAUGUAGAAAAUGGGAACAAAUGCUAUACUAGGCAUAACUAUGAACGUCCAGAGAAGUUUUACUAUUGCUAAAUAAGGAUAUGGCAUUCCCAUUUGAUCUGUUUGUUAAUGUUAUUUCUUGUUAUCCUAAUAUUAGAAUAUUAUGCAAGAAUCUUGUAUUGAAUUUUAUUUUCUAAUAUAAAAGGUCAUGUAAAGUCGGCUGCCACAGAUGACCAUGGCAAGGUGCCAGCGAAAGUGAUUGGGAAGACGUCUACCUUGCGGCUGCAGAUGGCCGCGGCUGAGCCUCAGGCGGGACCGAUACUUACGAACCUUGUUCCUAUCAGCACGAAGGAUAAUGUGGGAGGGCAGUCCAACGAGAGUCUUGAUGGGGCAGUUAUGCGACCACCCACUAUAGAUAUGCAUCCAGAUUUUGCUGUGGGGAAGAGUGUCGCGGCUGACAGUCAGGCAAUGGCCGCCGUGGAAGAGACAAGCGAAGGGGAGGUGACUGCCUUGCCUGGGACUGGUGAGGGGAGCAUCAAAUCUAGUGGAAAGGGGAUGGCAAAGGAGGCUGGUGGGGUGCAAGCAAAAGGGCGGACAGCAAGGGAUUUAGCUGACGCAGGGAGGACUGAGGAACUACAGGAAACUCAGCGACGGGUGGGAAAUUUAUCCCCUAGGGGCGGAUGUCACAGGAAUGCUGUUCAAGGGGAGGCGUCGCUGCUGGAAACAUUGCAUAUAGACCCGGUGGUGAUCUCUGGCAACCAUGAGUAGGAGAAAAUGGGACUGAAGGAGAUGUCCUUUGCAAAGUCGCGAGGUAUUCGUGCAGGUUUCCCUUCUGAUAGAACUCUAAGAUCCAUGGUUAAUGCAUCAACAAAUUCCUUCUCUGUCUUAUCUGAUGAUUAAGUUGCUUUUUUGGAAUAUAAGGGGAGUGACUUGAGCUCAUAAUUUAAAAAGACUGAGGAAACUUAUCAAACUGUACUCAUUACAAUUAGUGGUAAUUGUUGAACUAAAGACGGGGUUGGAGAAUAUUACUGAUAUUAGACUAAAGUUGGGGAUGGACUGUUGCAUAACCAAUCAGUGGGGUUCUGUUUGGGUGUUUUACUGGUCUUUGUUUAACUGUUAGAGUAUCGGGAAGUCGCCCCAAUAUUUAACUAUUCAAGUACAAUCUCACCUAUUUCCAGCUUCCAUUAGUUUGUCAUGUAUUCAUACUAAACGCACGGACCAAGAAAGGGAUUUCAAUGUGAUUACAAAUGAGGGGGAAAAAAGGGGCAGUUUGCCAUUCACACCGACGGAAGGAUUGGAUUUCUUGAAUUUCAUGUCAGUGGCGGGAGUGAGUGAUGCGGGGUACUCUGGGUCGAGGUAUAUCUGGUGUAAUAAUCACUCGAGUGCAGCUCGGAUUUGGAAGCGCCUUGACAUACUACUAAUAAGUGAGUUAGCUUUGGAGAUGCAGCAACAAGUCAUGGUCCAGCAUUUGGGGCGUGAUCCAUCAGAUCACUCCCCGUUACGAGGUUGGACAAUAAACCCAGGCCAUUUCGCUUUUUGAAUGUUUGGACCACACAUAAGGACUUGUUGGGGUGGUUAAAGAUUGCUGGUCUUAAUCGGUCAGUGGGUGUCCCCUGCAUAUAUUGGCAAUGAAGCUUCGGAAUGUUAAACAAUUUCUCAAACAAUGGUCUAAGAAUUUGUUUGGUGAUAUUUUUGAGGUAGCUCGAUGCACAAAGCAUGAGGUAGUGGAUGCCGAGAUGAAAUACGACCUGAAUCCCUUGGAUCAAUUGCGCUGUGAGCUGCAUCAUGCUCGAGGGCGGCUACGGCGCGCGCUGACACUCGAGGAGGGUUUUUGGAGGCAGAAAGCACGGGUGAAGUGGCUUUUGGACGGGGACAGGAACUCCAAAUUCUUUCACUUAGUGGUAGUAGAAAGGAGACGUUGGGCAGUGAUUCAUCGGAUUAGGAAGGCGGAUGGAGAGUGGAUCGAGGAGGAGCCACAGAUUGGUGAUACGGCGGUAUGCUUCUUCUAGGAGCUUUUCAAGGCAGAGGGAGGCUCGACAUCCAAUGAAAUUUUAAAGUUCAUUCCGAAACUGGUCACUGCCCAGGACAAUUCGCUGUUAAUGGAGAUUCCUUCUCUUCAAGGCGUCAAGGACAAAAUCUUUGCACUGGAUGAGGAGAGCGCAGCGGGCCCAGAUGGAUUCACAGGGAAAUUCUUCACCUUCGCAUGGGAGAUGGUAGCCACGGAUGUGUACAGGGUGGUAGUGAGAUUUUUCUAUGGUGCUGAGCUCCCUCAGAGUAUCACAGCUACCUCAAUUGUUCUACUGCCAAAGGUGGAAAACCCACAAGACUUUACUCAGUUUCGGCCCAUAAGUCUGUGCAAUUUUGCUAGCAAAAUCAUCUCCAAGUUUCUAUCGAAGAGAUUGGCUAAGAUAUUACUCCGGAUCAUAUCUCCACAGCAGAGCGGUUUUGUGCAAGGGCGACAAAUUGCGGAUAAUUUUUUGCUAGCUCUGGAGUUAUUAACAGAUAUCAAGAAGACAAAUCGAGGUGGUAACGUGGUGAUUAAAUUAGACAUGAUGAAAGCAUAUGAUAGAGUCUCAUGAUAUUCUCUUCUGCAAGUGCUUCGUCACUUCGGGUUCAGUGAGACUUAGAUAGACAUGACAUGGCACUUGGUCUCUAAUGUCUGGUUUUCGGUAUUGGUUAAUGGCUCUCCACAAGAUUUUUUCAAGUCUUCAUGGGGCUUACGACAAGUGGAUCCCAUAUCGCCAGCCUUAUUCAUUAUUGAAGCAGAAGUGUUGUCUCGAGCCCUAAAUACUUUAGUCACACAGUGGCGAUUCACCCCUUUUAAACUACCUCCUCAUUGCCCUAUAGUAUCAUACUUGGCGUACGAUGAUGAUGUUAUCAUAUUCUCCAAUGGUAUGAGAUCUUCUCUAAAAUCGAUUAAAAGGGUACUGGAGGAAUAUAGUGUUGCAUCAAGCCAAUGGAUCAAUCCCCAAAAAAGCUGCUUCUUGACUCAUCCGCGGUUUCCGUCACAGAGAGCAGCAUUGAUUGGAUAGGUACUUGGGUUUCCAAAGCGAGCUUUCCCGAUACUAUACCUAGGAUGUCUGUUGUACGUAGGAAGGCGAAAAAAAGUUUACUUUGCAGAUAUAUAUAAUGCAGUGGCGGCUCAUAUCCUGUCAUGGAUGAAUCAGGUUUUGUUAGCCAGAGAUAGAGUGGUAUUGAUUAAGACUGUGUUAUCCUCAAUGCCGAAUCAUUUGCUCACAGCUUCUUCUCCUCUAAAGGGGAUAUUCGUGGCAUUAGAGAAGUUAUUUGCAAAUUUCUUAUGGGGGUCAUCUGAUUUUGGUACUAAAUUCCACUAGAUGCGGUUGAAGGAUUUGUGUCGGCAGCGAGAAGAGGGGGUAUUGGUCUACGUGGUAUUAGGGAGGUCUACGACUUAAUCUCGAUUAAACUCUAGUGAAAAUUUUGACAAUAGCAGUCGCUAUGGGCAGAGUUUAUGUCAAGAAAUUAUUGCGUGGGGUUGAAUCCUUGUCUAGUUGAGGAUAGCCAUUGGAAUUCCCAUACGUGGAGGAGGAUGGUUGCGGUGCAGCAAGUAGGGGAGGACCACAUUAGCUGGAUCGUACAGCAAGGAUCGAUGGAUUUUUGGCUUGACAACUGGAUGGGAUCAGGAGUCUUAUGCAACAAGGUGGAAAUCUUCCAUGACCAUUUGGUGGCUGAUUUUGUCGAUCGGGGGGGCUGGAAUGUCGCCAUGCUUAAUCAGUAUUUGGAUGCCGCUCUAGCAGGGUGAGUUUUGGAGGUUGCACCCCCAUCCUCCCAUCCUUUUAGGGCAAUGAUAGAAUGGUUUGGACCUUGACAAAUUCUGCCACCUUUUCCACAUUAUCGGCCUACUCACUUGUCGAACGGGUUACUAACAGCUCAUGGCUUUCUGCCUUUGUCUGGCAGCAGUCUUCCAAUUAAAAUCUCUUUCUUUAUACUGCGACAGCUGCAGGGCGGGCUCCCUCUUAAGGACCAAUUGAGGAGAUUUGGGAUAAGCAGCCCCUCUAGGUGUUGGUGUUGCCAGGAUCCACGGGAGGAGGACCCGAAUCAUGUUUUUUGUUCAAGAAAAGGGGCAAGAUUGGUUUGGUGUCAUUUCGAUAUUAAUGUUGGUGAAAUGAGGGAGGUGAAUACGGUGCGACAUAUGGUAUGGUUUUGGUGGUUAAGGAGAGGGGAUAACAUAUAUUUGAAGUUUUUGAAUAGUGUUCUCCCGUCGGUGAUUUGCUGGGAAUUAUGGAGGACAAAGAAUAGGAAGGUUUUUGAAGGACGGAGAAUGAGGGUCAGGGAGACUGUGAGUCGGAUAGUCCAAUUGCUAAGUGACAUCUUUCAUGUACAGCUCCCGAGGAUUUAGUGGUCAGAUUCCUCGUGGGAAAAGAUGCUUCGAGAGUUGGUUAACCGACAAAAGAGGAUGAUCAUUCAGUCGGUCAGGUGGGUAUCCCCGCAGGGGGGGUACAAGUUAAAUUCGAAUGGAUGUUCUCUGGGGAACCCAGGAUUGAGUGGAGGAGGUGGUCUAGUGCGUGAUUGUCUAGGUAAUUUUGUAUUUGGUUACUCGGAGCACUUUGGGACAAUGACUAGUCUGCAUGCGGAGCUUCGGGCGCUGCUACUUGGCGUUAGAUACUGUAUUACUCGAGGGUACUUGGAGUUACACUUAGAGGCAGAUUCUCUUACCCUUAUUUGGAUCGUUCAAGGGGUUAGUGCUUGCCCAUGGCAGUUGCAGAGGGAGCUGGAUGAGUUGCUUAUGUUUAAACAACAUUUUCAAAUGAUUUCACAUUGUUACAGGGAAGCGAAUGCUCCUGCUGACCGUCUUGCAAAUUUGGGUGCUGAUUCUAAUGCAGGUCAGGUGUUUAAUAGGUUUUCAGAUCUACCACGAUUGGUCAAGGGGGGAUAUUGGAAUGGAUAAGUUAGGGUUUUCAUCAUUUCGUAGACAAGUAAUUGGUUAUCUGUGAAUGUAUUCAGCCAGUGUAAGCAUGAUUACAACAUUAAUGGAAAGUUCAAUUUUUUUCAAAAAAAUAACGGACAAAAGCACUCUUCAUGUCCAGUUGGCUAUUGUAUUGCAUGGAGUGAGAUGUGAUGGUACAUGAAGUAUCUAAAUAAUUUUGGGAUAUGAUGUAUGUGAAAAGAAAACUAUUUUUUGGAAUAUUAUUUAUAUAUCAAUUAUGUUUGGUACUUUUUUCUUUACUCUUUACUUUGUUCCAUUUUACAUUUUUCUUAUUCUUUUCUGUCUUGUAUGACUAGUUAUUUUAAUUUUUUAGUAUUAUUAUUCGUAUAGUAUUUUUAAUGAACUUCAACUUAUUCUCUUUUCAUCUCUUUUCUAUGUUCAAUUAUUAGUAGUAACAAUAAUUGCAAAGCAUAUUUUGUAUGGUAUUCAAAUUAUUUAGGUAUAUCUAAAACAAAUGAGCUUAUAACAAAUCUAAUUAUUAGUAGUAAAGUGGCAAUUAAUAAGAUUAAAAUAAAAACAAAAAUAUUAGUAGCAGUAUAUUAUUCGUUAACGACACUUUUUUAGAAAUUUUUUACUCAUUUGAGAAGAUAAAAUUUUUGUACUUUUUGUUUUCUUUUUGGAAAACAAAAUUAUUCUAAAUAAUAUUUUGCUUGCACUACAAACACAAUUUCCAAUCAACUUUUUAUUUUUCCAAUCAUUUUUUUUUACAUACAUCACAUCCCAAAAAAUACUACAAUAGUUAUUUCAAAUAAUUUUCUUCUUGGAUUGUGAAUAGUCCAUGAAGUGCAUAGAGGUGCUAUUCUUCCACACCUACAUCUUGAGCAGAAGUUUGUUGCUUCAUAUGCAUUGCCUGAGCUACAACUGUUAGGAUUGUGCUCCAUGUGUGUAGAAAACUGUGCGGCAUCUGUGAAGAAAAGGAAAUAAAGGAUGUGAUGAAGAUGAUAAUAAAUGAGCAGAAUGGACAAGUGAUGGUAGGUGGAGAUAGCCAUUUAUACUCAUUUGGAAGGAAGGCAAUUUUGUUAGGAAAUUUCAACAGACAGAGCUUGCAAGACACGCGCUUUGUUUGACCAUGAAAUUUGUGAAUGAUAGUUUUCUUAGGGUGCAAAGUACCUAUAAACAUACUUUGGGAUGUAUUGUGCAAUAGUUAUAAAAGUUCAAGACAGUUUUUUGCAUUUAACCUUUAUUUUUAUCUUCUGCACAAGAACUAUAUUGAUCAAACUUUAAAACAUGGAGGUUUUUGACUUAAUGGGAAUUAGGUUGUUUGUUAGAAAGAAGCUGCAAAAUGGACUAGAGAAAGGUGGAGGCGGUUUGGGAUGUAAAGAUUGGUAGUUGAUGGAAAUUUUGUUUUGAGAAAGCAUUGAGGUUGAAUUUCUUUGAAAUAUUAGUGUUUGUUUAGGGUGAGAGUUUUGGGGCAAGGUGAAGAGCCCUGGUUGGGAUUUUUUGGCUGCUGGAUUGGUUUGAUUAUAUUGGAUCAAAUUUGGGUUUUCUAUAUCGGCAGAAGUGUGGGCCUUCCAACCUACUUACUUUAAUCCUUAAAGGAUUCCCUUGAUUGGGAAUAUAUUAUAAUUAAGAUUUAAUAUUAGCAAUUAGGAGUGAUCUUUACCUAUAACUAUCCAUUUAAUAAUAGAAGAAAAGGGCAGCUUCCACACCACAUUAAAAAAAAAUGCAAGCUUUAGUUGGGGAAGCGCUUGAGCACUUAUGAAGCUUGGGUUGACAAUUGGAUAUCCAGCACUGAAAACCGUUUUUACAUUGGAUGGUUUGGUCUUUUGAUGAUCUGAAGUUUGUUUGGAACAUAAAUGGUUCAUGGAGUCGAGGAAGGAAUUAGGAAACUUUGUUUUCUCCUUUUUUCUUUUCAAUUUGAAAAGGGUAAUUUAGGAUAUUUGAAAAAAAUUUUAGUUUGACAUUAAAAGUCAGGGAGGUUUGUGCAAUUUAAAAAUUUGAGACGAGCAAUAUGAAAUUUUUAGAAACCACAAGGAAGGUUCUGAAAUUAUUCCCUAAUAAUAAGCUUGUGGUCUGUACUUAUUGGUAGGGUGAGAAAUUUUAUUCAAUGUAGUAGGGGGCAGGGUCAGAGCUAUUUACAUUUGAGGGUGGGUAAUUGCUCCCUCAAAUUUUUAAAAUUUCCUUUUAUACCUUACAAUUAUUGUCAAUUGUAUUUUUAUUUAGUUAUAGUUUAAUAGUUUGUAUCCUCUCAAACUACCGAAAUUGUGUAUUGCACCCCCACAAACAAAAUAAUAGUGGGUACUUACUAAAAUUUAAAUUAAUCAAAACCCCAUUAUAAUAAGAAACAAGUGAAGCAAAAUCCAAAAAAUAUGAAAUAAGAUAAUACAUGUAUAAAAAGUCAAAUGAUAUGAUAUUAGAUUGAAAGAAAUAUUAAAGGGAUAGCCAAUUAUAUUUAUUGUAUUGAAGAGAUAAAAGAGCUAAUUAUGGGGAAAGAAGAACAAAAAAAAAUACACGUAGAAUAUUUCUACGUUACAAAAGAUUUCUCAGAAUAUUUCUUUGUUUGCUAAAUUUGAAUUAUGCUAUACUAUUACUUCUUUAUUUGGUUGAUUUAUUAACUCACUCUCUGAUUAUUUGUAAUUGUAUAACUUAUUUGGGUAUUAAAUACACUGCAAUUUAAUACUCACUGAUUGUGCAUAUAAUUUUGUAAAACACAAAUACUAGUUAUUCAACUAACUAAUAAAACACGAAGAAAUGCUAAUUCUAAUUUUGCUUUUCAAGAAAACAUUUCUUAAGAUUAGUCGCAUUAUGCUAACUAUCAAUUAAUAGUACAAUAUAUUACCCAUCAUAUAAGAAAUUAGGCGUUUUCGCAUCUUGUAGUUGUCCAUACCAUCAAGAUAGUUGUUUUGAGCCUUGACCAAUUCCAACUACCAUCAAUAUUGUUGGCUCUCAAUUCAAUCCUUAUAUUGACCAACAAUAAACAAUUGUCCCUCGUGAUUUUGGUCAUGACUCCACCAUUUUGGUCGUGACUCCGCCAUGCUUUGUUUCACUUACGAGUUACAAAGGAGGAAACAAAGAAAGGAAAUACAAAAAAUUUCUCAUCCUUUUGUUUUUUAUGCAUGCAUACGUACAAUCGUGCCAUUCCUUGGAAAUUUGCUCAUACCACACUAUUGUGCUAUUUUCUCUGAAAUUUUCAACAAUCAUGCGAGCAGUAAGAAACUAUUUCUAAAGAAAUGGCACUAUCAAAGAUAUAUUGACUUAUAUAUUAUAAUCAUGCUGAAGCUCCAAGGAAGAUUACUUGACAAAGAAACGUUGGGGAAGAAUAAUUUUAUCUGAACGACUUUUUUAGUGGCAUAUAUUAUGUCUUGCACACAGGCAAUUAAAAUUUGAAUAUGGAAGUUGAAGAUUAAUACCUAAUUACUCCGUGUGCUUUUGAAUUAAAAGGAUGAAAAUUUUGUUUCCAAGAAUGGCAUUUACACAAGGAGGCGUCACCUAAUAUUUACAUCCGGCUACAAUAUUUCAGUUUUACUCUAAUAGUAUCUCGAGGCAUCCUUUUAGAGCAAAACUAUAGAAAGUGUUUGUUUCUUGUUAUAAAUGUUUCACGCAACUUGAUAAUUUGACUCUCAUUUAUUAUAACUGCCUGAUGUAUGUUGCGUAUUGGUGUAGGGUGAACAUUACUAUGGAUGCAAGGUUUGAUUUGGUAGAGCUAAUAUAAUACAUGCGUGGAUCGAAAUCAAGGACACUAUAUUACCAUUAGUCAACUAUCCAAACUUAUUACUAAUUAGCGUACAGGUUUGGUGUAGUUGGCAGGCUACCUCUAAUAUUAUAUUGUCUGCGACUUUGUCUCCUCAAGAUAAUCGAGACGGGAUCAAAUAAAAGUUAUUAUAUCAGGGUUAAGAACUAUUUCCAAUUAUUUACCAAACUAGGUUUUCAAGAUUACCAGUGAAUACUAUUUCUUUUUUCUUCUUCUUUUGCAUUGGAGAGCUAAAAUCCAUAAUGACGUAACCAAACUCUUAGAGUCAGAAUCAACUAAUUAAAAAAAAAAUAUUCAAAGUUCCAAAAACUCUAAUACAUGUCAAAGUUACACAAGAUUUUUUUUCCAUCUCUCUCCACACCUUUUCCAUCUCCAAUUGGCAGGCAUGAUAUUUGAACCCUGAAUCUAACAGUAGAAAAGAUUUUGAGUGCAGUGAGUAGACUAAUCUCUCAAACAAUCGAUCAAAACAAGAUUCUUCAGUGGUAAGCCUUCAAGUAAUUGAUGAAAUAAGCACCAGAUCUCACAAGAUCUUUCUCAAGAAACAAAAUUUUAAAGAGUUUUUCCUGUAGUUUAAUUUUUAGUAACAAGUAAUGGCAUAUUUUACGAACACAAGGCGUUUGAAGAAGUGAAAGACAUUGAACUAAAGUAAUUACGUGCAAUAAACUGUGAAAAUUAGGGGCUGAAAUUAGAAAACGAUUCUUUCGAAGGAAGACAAAAGUAUGCGUUAAUCCUUAACAGGACACUGACAGCGAUUUAGAAUAACACUAUGCGGCGAAGGAUGUCCAAAUUUAGUUCCCCACAAUUAUUAAGACGGUAGGAAAUUAAGCUAUCUUUUGAUCUGUUCAAAUUUUGUACCGGUCCUAAUGCUAUUAAUUAUGUCCUUGGAUAAGUGAUGUUUGCUGAAUGUACCGGUCCUUAUUCUAUUCGUACAUUUCCUUUUGUUUGAUCUUCCACGGAUAUGAAUGAUUCAAAUUUCAACGUAUAUCAAGUUGUUGAAAAGCUCGCUAUAUGUGCCCUGCUAUAAAUUCUUAUCAUCCUUGAUUUUUUUAUUCCACGCGCUUGGUAAAAUACAAAUAAUGGACAUGGUUAAAUCUCAAGAAAACUUAAAUAGAUCAUAGGUAAAAAGAAUUCUAAAAGCUUAUAUUUCAUCUUCCUUUACUAGAUAGUCUUGGUUGUCAGAAAAUAAAGCACAAGAAUGUCCAUUGAAAACUUGAGGGAUAUGGGGUUCAAGUUUCAAUCCUCAAUAUAAAUUUUGGACAAUGUACAUAUGUAUGUAUACAUUUAUAUACAUGAAUAUGUGUGUGCAAACUGUAUAUGUAUCAUGCAUGCAAUAGCUCAAUUAUCAGCAUUCCAUUGCUGCCGUCCUUUCUGCCUUGUGGCUUCUACAUUCGAAAUUGAUGUACCAAAAUUCGGCAUGCGUCCAUCGAUUGUAUGUGAAAAUGAUGUAACCGUCGAUCCCGCAACCAGAUGAGUUUAUACUUAAGCUUUGCGACAUUAUGCUAAUGUUCAUUAUCUUUUCCACUAAAAGAGGUUAGAAAUUGCUGGACUUAAAAAUUUCAAAUCUUAAUGAUGUUGAUGCUCUGUUUAAACUCCUUUCGUAAGCUAAUUCUGACUUAGACUUUGUCUUAAUUCUUUGAUAUUUGUAGCUUUCUCUUAACAACUCAGCGAUAAGAAGUUUCAACACAACUACCGAUUAGGUUUUGGCAAAUUGCACCAUCUCUUGCUAUAAAUAGUUAUCAUCAUUAACUUGUGUUCUCACAAGCAUAGCUAACAUAAGAUAUCGGAGAUGGCUAAAUCUCAAUUCAGCUGCGCAACCUUCUUUGCCCUGCUCAUCUGCUUCCUCCUCCUCGUACCAAAUAGUAAGUUGUAGCUAGUCUUUAGUAAGAGAGUUUACACUUCUAUAGUCUUAAAUGGUGAACACGUGCAUAGAAUGGCGUAUAUUUGUACAUUCCCAAAGUUUUAAUUAUUUGUCUCUACCUCUCUCUUAGUUAGAGAACUUCGAGUAGAACAAACAGAAAUGGUUGUCACUAGCAACGAAUUAGAAUAGUUAUAAGUGUGUAUCAUGUAUAUGUACACUCACAAUCAAAAUUUUACGAACUAAUUUGUAUUACAUAUGCGCCGUAUGCUUUUCAAUAAAUGUUUUUGCUUAAAGUUUAGCCCUGUACUCUGCUUUUGAAUUUUCUCUCGCGCUUUCUAAUUUCUCGUGACAUGUAAUUAUACUGCAAGUAUACAUGUAUAGUGUUGCGAAUAACAAUACAUGUGGCAUAAAAAUAGAAAAUGGGAUAAAGAUUGACACAAAAAAUGACAUAGAGGAACCAUGCCCUGUAAUACUAACAAACACCUAUCCCUUAGGUGGACGGGCUAGAUCCCUGAUAUAUACCAUACACUUUGGACUAACUCUAAUGUUUUGCUUUGUUUCAUGCAGAGAUGCCAAUGGCUGAAGCUUCAUUUUGCAAGAGGCUUGCCAAGAACUGGUCCGGGGAUUGUUCCUCUGACAGGUGCUACAAUUAUUGCAAGUAUACAGAGCAUGUUUACUCCGGAGAAUGUAAUUGGAAUGGCAAUGGUCAGCAUCGUUAUUAUGCUUGCUACUGUGUCUACAACUGUUGAAAGCCUACUAUUUUCUGCAAUUUGCAACGUACUUUGUAUUCAAAUAAAGGCGAACAAUUCACUAGAAUUGCAUAUGUGCCGCCAAUAGUUGUUGUUCCUAUGUCAGUUGCUAAUAACGUACGGUGCUGUCUGUGUUAUCAUUGAAAAAUCACUGCUCAGUGAUAACUUAAUCAGUCUAUCCAUGUGUGUCUGUUGCGAUCUGUCUUGUAUUCAUUUAAAUAUAAAUGGACUACCUCUGUCCAAGUAUAAGGGUCAUCUUCUGUGAUUUCAACUUGUUAUGAGUACAUGUGAUUAUUAUGUUUGGACUCUGAUAAACACCAAAAAUAUCUGCUAAAGAAUUGGAUGCAAAAAAAAAAGUCUAAUGAAAAAAAAGAAAGAAAGUCAUAUGCACAACCAAUAUUCUCCAUGAAAAACAAAAAAUAAACACUGAUUGAAAUAUAAAAAUUGGCCUUGAAAAUCUUGCACUCCCUAUGUGCCAUAUUUGAGGUUUUUUUUUUUUGUUUUUUGAAAAUCAAACUUUUUAAGAAAAAAAAUGUAAUUAUUAAGUUUGAAUGUACUGAUUUUGGAUGAACCUUAAACAUGGCCCUCACAUGGAGUGUAGUGGCACGCAAAAGGUAUUUUUUUCAAAUGGUAAAAUGGAAAGUUGUGUUGAUUUUGAAAAGAUGACCCUUUGUUUGGAAUAUCCAAAAGGUGAAAACAUGACACUAAAAAAGGAUGGUUAUUUUACCAUUUUACUGUUUUACUUUCCUUUUUAUUUUUUUUGAAGGUUUCCGUUGACUCUGGCUUAGCUUCCUUUAGUUUAGUUGAAUAGAAAACCGAAGACCAUGUACUUUAUUUGUUUUCCAUUAAUUGACAUCAAUAGGGUGGGACACAUUAUAAAAAUUCAUAAUUUUUUCAAAGAGUGAGUUUGUAGGAGUUUUUGGUGAGGCACGGGCCCCAAGUGUAAUUUUUUUUAAAAACUGGAAGUUGGGAAAAUGUAAGGGAAUAAUAAAUAUUACUGCAUGCUAAAGAAAUACAAAAUAAAAAUUAAUCAAAGCCAUAAAUAGGUAUAAUUAUUCUAUAAUUAAAAGAUUGUAUUGUCUUGGUUAUAGGGACUGUUUUCAUUUUCUUUUACAUCUAGAUUUUAGAUUUUUUUUUAAACCAAAAAGGUCAAAAUCUAGAAUAUACCUAGGACUUAACUUAAUUGAUUCUGAUUUUUUUUCUCCAUAAUUACAUUCUAUGAUCAACUAUUGCAAAAUUUACAACAAACAAGAAUAGGCUAAAAGAAGCAUGAAUACCAAAAAAAUAAAAUGCGGAAAAAUUUUCUAUAAUAUAAUUAGAUUGCAGGGAAAAAUUAUAUCAUAUAAUUAUAAAUUAUAAUUAUUUAGUUAAAUAUAAUUAGACCUAUAUAAUAUAUUAUAAAUUUAUUAAUAUUAUAUAAUAAUAUAUACGUAUAUUUAUAAAUGUAUAUUAUAUGUGCAUAUAAUUAUAAUAUAUACAUGUAUGUAAUAUUAAUAAGUUAUAUAAUUAUAAUUAUAAUUAUUAUUUUAAAUAUAAUAAUAUAUAAUAAUAACUAUAUUUAAUAUGUAAUAUAUAUUAUAUUUAUAUAUAUAUAUUUUUUAAAUCAAACUGUAAUUCUUAUUCCACCAAAACAAUCAAUAAGUUCCGCUUACAUAUGCCAAAAUUUUCGAAUAGAAGGCAUGCCUAAUCUAUCCAGCCUGAUUGCCCCGCGGGCCAACCUCGGGAACAUACGAAAGCAAUCAUAGACUUUGACCUGGUGCUCAGGAUGAGAUAUACCCACAUUGGACAACGCAUCAGCUACUGUGUUUGCUUCCCUAUAGCAAUGGGAGAAUCGAGUAGGAUCCUCGACUAACUGCCAAAUUUGCCGGACCUCGCGUCGAAUCUGCCACGGGCACUGGGUACGCCGCUGGAGAACCCCAACUAAGACCAAAGAAUCCAAUUGCACCCAUAGAUUAGUAAAACCCCUAUUAGCACACGUUUGAAGCCCAACCAGAAGGGCCAAAGUCUCUGCGCGAAGACAAGUAGUUAUUCCAAAGAAGGCCAAAAACGCAACCAGGGGUAGCCCCGUUGAAUCCCGAAGAACCCCACCCCCUCCACCCACUCCCGGAUUACCUUUAGAGCAUCCAUCCGUAUUCAGUACCAACCUCCCCCUCUCCUUUGCCUCCCAGCGUACAAAUUUGAAGCUAACACUGGCAGGCGAGUUUGAGCAAUCAUACAGCUGACCAAAUGUUUGCACCCCAAUCCUCUCUUUGAACUGAAUCUCCACAAUGGAUUUAAUCUCCGAGAAGAUGGCUUGACAAAUGGCUGAAGACCGCAUUUGUUCACCCUCAAACAUUGCUUUAUUCCUAGCCUUCCAAAUAUGCCAACAGGUAAAACUUGGCAGGAUAAGGCAAAUAAAACGUCGCAUCUCCGACUUGUGUGAUCGCAACCACCAGUCAACUAUGUGAGCACACAGUGAAGAACCCAGCGAAUUAAGACCACACAGACCACCAAAAAAAGUCCAAACCUCCAACGCUAUCUGGCUAGUAGAGAACACAUGCUCAAUUGACUCCUCCGCCCCAACUUGACAACACCAACAUUUAGACGGCAAAUGAAACCCUAGUUUACAUAAAGUAUCCGGUAGCGGCAACCUCCCCAUCAACAGCCGCAACAUAAAAAAUGACACUUUCAAAGGGAUUCGGGAGCGCCAAACCUUCGAGAAGACCACCGACGUGUUACGGGCCUGCCGCACAUCCCGGAAAGCAGAGGCUAAUGUGAACUCUCCAGAAGGUGUUGGCAACCAAAUGAUUUCAUCAGCACAUCGCCCAUCAGGGAUCGGGUGUUGUAAAAUGGAGGUAACAAUAUCCCGUGGCAAAGCUUGAAGCAAGAGGUUUGCAUCCCAGUGCCCAUUUGACGUGCAAUUGCGAAAUGAGAGAUUCGGAUCAACUGAUGCUCAAAGAAAUAAGUCCCCAGUGCCCAACCAGUUGUCGUACCAAAAGUGACACGACCCGUCACUGACCAACCAAAUCAUGGACAAUUCUACGUGUCGGUGCACGUUCAACAGCCGUCUCCAGACUGCCGAAUCAGUCAACCUCAUUUCUGCUUGACAAGGGUGGGUCCUUCUGCAGUACUUUGCUCGCAUGAAAGUAGCCCACAAUGACGAUCCCGUUCAGAAACUCCACCAGAGUUUACAAGAGAAAGCUAAAUAGACGUCCAUAAGCCUUCGAAACCCCACUCCACCCUCCUCAACCGGAUAGCACAGCUGAGACCACCGUAUCCAGUGGAACUUCGACUCUUCGGGUGAUGACCCCCACAGGAAGUUCGCGCAAACCUUCUCUAUAGUGUUAAACACCUUGCCAGGAAUCACAGCCGUGGACAGCAAGUGAACUGGCAUCAAUGACAACACGUGCUUGAUUAACACCAUCUUGCCUGCCGCAGACAGGAAUUUUGACUUCCAUGACAGGACCCUUCCAAGGAUAGACUGACACACUUCACCAUAAUACGACGAUUUACACCUCCCAAGGUACAGCGGAAACCCUAAAUAACGUAUAGGAAAAGGCUGCCAAGCAAACCUCGUAACACGUUCAAUCGCUCUUCUUCUAGUCGGAGGCAAUGACGGAUAAGCCAAGUAGCCACUUUUCUGAGCAUUUAUCAGCUGCCCCGAGCACCGUUGAUACAUCUCCAACACCUGCAUAAUAUCCUUCAAAGCAGAGGUGGACCCGUUCGCAAAUAUAAUCACGUCAUCCGCGAAUGCCAAGUGAGUUACAGAGGGGCAGCCAUUAGGGACUUUAAACCCCAAGAACCCCGAUUGAACCAUGAGUCCAUUUAACCCUCUCGACAAGACCUCAGCUCCAAUAAUAAACAGGGCCGGCGACAGCGGGUCACCCUGACGUAACCCUCUCAUAGACUUAAAGAAGCCGUAUGACGACCCGUUGAUAAUGAUCGAGAAUCACACAUUAGACAACAACCGCCAUACCAGAUCAAUAAAUCGCUCCCCAAAACCAAACUUCCGUAAUACCCCAAUAAUAUGCAACCAAGACACUCUGUCAUAAGCCUUGGACAUAUCUAAUUAACUUCAAGACGACAUUGCCACCCCUGGCUCUUUUGCCAAUACCCGACACCACCUCCUGAGCUAACUAGUAUUAGUAUAUAUUAAUUAAUAUUAGUUUAUAUUAUAUAAUUAUAAUUAUAUAUUUAUAAUAUAACAUUUGUAUAUUAUAUUUAAUUAUAUAUAUAAUUUAUUUAAUUAGUUACAAACUUAUAAUAAUAUUAUUAUUAUAUCAUAUAAUUAUAUAUUAUAAUUAUUUAGUUAAAUAUAAUUAUACCUAUAUAAUAUAUAUUAUAAAUUUAUUAAUAUUAUAUAAUAAUAUAUUUAUAAUAUGUAUGUAUAUUUAUAAAUGUAUAUUAUAUGUGCAUAUAAUUAUAAUAUAUACAUGUAUGUAAUAUUAAUAAGUUAUAUAAUUAGAAUUAUAAUUAUUAUUUUAAAUAUAAUAAUAUAUAAUAAUAACUAUAUUUAAUAUGUAAUAUAUAUUACAUUUAUAUAAAAUAUUAGUAUAAUUAAUAUUUGUAUAUAUUAUAUAAUUAUAAUUAUAUAUUUAUAUUAUAACAUUUGUAUAUUUAUAUUUAAUUAUAUAUAUAAUAGUUAAUUUAAUUAGUUACAAACUUAUAAUAAAAAUAUUAUUAGUUAUAUGUAUUAUAUAAUGUAUAUUAAUUUAUGUAAUAUAAUUAAUAUUAUCAAUUAUACAAAUAAUUAUACAUGUUUACUGAUAAAAAUUAUUAAUUAGUUAGACUAAAUUUACUAAUACAUUUAUACUAAUAUAUUUAAUUAGUGAAAAAUUUCUUAUAUCCCAUUUACAAAGAGCCAAUAACUAUCAUUUACGAUGUGGUUUAUAAUAGAUUUAUUAUAUUCCAUUCCAAAAAAGUCGACGAACCAAACAUCAACUAUAGUAAUGAUACACAUUCCAAGUACUUGAACCAAACAAAUGUAUUGGAAUGAAUGACCUCAUUCCAAACCCAAGAUAUCCAAUUCCGAAUCCGAAUCUGAUUCCGAUGUGCGAACCAAACGCCACCUAAAUACAUACAUCAUAUUUAUUAUACCUCUGAAUUGGGAUACUUAUCCUUUAAACUCUCCUAUGCACUAGGCCAAAAGUUCAAACACCCGUUUAGUGUAUCACACAAGAAAUAUAGUACUUCUUGUUUUAAAAAAUUCAGAGAGUGCAAUAGUGUACUUGUCCGGUUUGAUUCUUCACGCUCCUAACUCCCACACAUGCCUCUUUAGACUCCGCCCAAUAGAGUAGGAGUAGGAGUAAGUUAAAUAUUUUAGCAGAUAAAAAAAGAAAAAAAAUUGUAAUACUUUUUCAAAUUAACUAUACUUUUCCAAAAAACUAACAAUUGAGCCCCUUUAAUCAAUUGCCAAUGGGUAUCCAUUACCCAAACUAUGAUGGCCCGGUCUCCUCCUAGGGCAUAUCCUAGAAGUUAGCGGACCACCCGCCUGGUUCUCGCAAGGACUCAUUCACUAACAUUAAUUUCAGAGAUAACAAUUCUGAUUAAUCAUCCAAGCAUCCAUUCUUAAUACUUCUUAGUAAGACAAAAGCUUUAUCCACUACAAAUUACAAAAGUGAAUCAUCCAAACGUUCAUUCUUAAAUACAUCACUCAAGUACAUCACCAACUUGUGUGAAAUAUAAAUCUAUCCGUUAAGAGAUACAAAAUGCAGGUCUUAACAUCUAUAUAGAACAUUAGACCUCCCAAAACACUCUAACUCUACUUGAUCAUCCUUCAAACUUCAACCCCUGUAAGGAAAACAAAACUAAAGGGCUGAGCUAAAGCUUAGUGAGGCUUGCUGAGCAAGUUACAUUUAAUAAACACUUAAAUCAGUACAAUUAAGCAAGUAGUACACAUUUCACUGUACAAUCACUUUCAUUAAGUAAUUGAGGAAACACUUCGCUAAACAAUCACUUUUAAAAGGAUACGGCGCUCGCAUUAGAGCUACUUCAAUGUCAUUGAGCAUUCAUUUCAGUGCCAAGAGACAUUCAUUUCACUGUCAUUGUACAUUCAUUUCAAUAUCACUGAACAUUCUGCCAAUUCACCUCCUUAUGUCCUCUAAAACAAUAAACAAUUCACUACAUUCAAUAAUCUGUUCAAUAAUCUCCCAACCUCAUGAUAAUACUCGAGUAUAUCGAAACAUUUACCCAAAGCUGCCGUCCUACCCGACCAAGCCAUUUGCUGGCUCGAAUAGUCCGUUGAACGGAGGGUUUUCGGGCCCAAUUUAGCCAAUCUGAUAAAGUACACACACGGCUUACAGUCAUGCACACUUACAAUAUCACUUGAUCAAUUAUCAACCUUCAAACUCAACUAAAGCGAGUGCGAUAAAGUACACCCUCGACUUAGAAGGCAAGGGACAAUUGAGAUACACUUUGCAAUGAAUCACUUAGCAAUAUUUCAUAAUAAGCACAUUUAUCACAUAAUUUCACUUAAGUAACAUAAACAGUUAAACACAUAAAUUCAGAAACACUCACCGUAAUAAAAAAUUACACUUCGAUCUCGGAAUUGCUUUCUUGCACACCGCUAUCUCCUAAGACAAGUUAUAAUUGCCAUAAUUAUUUAACUACUCAUUUGGUGAGGUUCUAAAGUAUAAUCAACAUACGUGUUGUAUUCUAGCCUUAAGUCACCAUUCCAACCGAAUUCUCAGUUAUUGCUUUGUUUAAAUGAGGCGACUAGUGCAUUUCUUACAUUCACUCAUCCCUUCGACUUUUAGUUUUCAAAAGAGAGGAAGUUUAAGUAGCAAUUCCAGUAUUGUGACUUCAUUACUUUUAUACUGCUAGAUUUAUCGUACUAAAACUCAACAUUAAC
rnacentral:lncRNA from 1 species